rnacentral:lncRNA from 1 species
GGCCAGACUUGUUGCCAAAGGUUUCUAGACACCUUUUCUAGUGACGUUUUUCUUCAAGAUGACCUUCAUGAGGAAGUUUGAAACUUCCUCCUCCUGAUUAUCUAAGUCAUAAUAGUAAUAAGGUUUGUCGUUUAAAAAAAAUACGUGUAUGGUUUAAAACAAGCAAGUUUGCAAUGGUUUGUCAAACCACCUUUUGCCUUGAUAUCAUUUGGUUUUCAACAUUCAAAACAUGAUCAUUCCUUAUUCGUUCUCAAGAAGUUAAAUUCUUUUAUUAUUUUGUUGGUUUACGUAGAUGAUAUUAUUAUUGUAGGUAAUUCUGAAUUAGAGAUCGAUAUGAUUAAAACUUUUUUAAAUUUUUCUUUUCAUAUUAGAAACCUUGGGGACUUAAAGUUAUUUCUUGGAUUGGAGAUAUCUCGUUCAAGGAAGGGUAUUCACAAAUGUCAACGUAAAUGUGAUUUUGAUAUCUUGUCAGAUGUUGGAUUAUUAAACACUAAACCUUGCAAUACACAUAUGAUCAAGGACUGCAAAUUUCUAUACAACUCAAAGGCGCAACCCCAUGACCCAACCUCUUUUAGGAGAAUUAUUGAACGUCUUAUUUACUUGACCAACAAACGACUUGAUAUUGUUUUCUCCAUGCAACAACUUAGCCAAUUUAUGCAAUCAUCGACUGAAGACCAUUACAUGGCAGUCAUGGAGAUCAUCAAAUACAUAAAAACUGCAUCAGCACAAGGAUUGUUUUAUUCAUUAGCGUCUAUACUUCAAUUGCGAGCGUUUAGCUAUUUUGAUUGGGCAAUCUGCCCAGAAAAAGAAGGUUUGUAAUUAGAUUCUGUAUAUUUCUUAGAGGUAUAAGAAACAAAGCAUUGUAUCUCGUUCAUCUUCUAAAAUGGAGUAUAGAGCAUUAGAGUCAACAACUUGUGAAAUUCAAUGGAUAACAUUUCUUUUGCAAGAAUUAAACAUGAAUUUUUCUGCCCCUUCAACUUUUUAUUGCGAUAAUCAAUCAGCUGGGAACAUUGCAUCAAAUCCUACAUUCCAUGAGAGAACAAAACAUAUAGAAAUUGAUUGUCACAUUGUUCACGACAAACUGCAAACUGGAAAUGUUCAAACUUUUGCUCAUCUCUUCAUCAAAUAUUAUGGUUGAUUUCUUUACUAAAUCACUUGAACCUACAACAUUCAAUUCAAUUCUUAACAAGCUGACAAUUCUUAAAAUACAUUCUCCAUCUUGAGGGGAUGUUAGUUUAAUAUUAGUUAGUUUUAUUAUGCUUUUAUUCUUGGGUUGUUAUAGUCAUUUUGUUGGUAGCCUUUCAGACCUUUUUGUUGUUAUUUUCUGUUACAAAGCUAUUGUUAUAAAUAAGCAUGUGAUGUAUAUUCAGUAAAAUAAUAUCCAUUAAUUGUUAUUUUUUAAGAUAACAAUUUUUAUAUUCAACAAGACAUUGAAUUGGUUCUUACUCUCCUACUCAUUUGGUAGGUUGAUAGAUAAACUAUAAUACAUUAAGCAGGCCAAGAUAGGCCCAACCCAAAAAACCCAAUGCCCAUUCCAUAACGAGCCUCCAUGAAACAAAGCCGCACCUAAGCAUCUAGCUGGGUUCAGCCCAACACCAGCAUAACCGGCCCGUCCAGUUACAGUUAUGGACACAAAUACUGCCAAUGCCAUAGCCCCAGCAAUGACCAAACAUAUCAUUGGUAAGCCCAAAUCCUUUGACCUUUUUUUGUCAAAAGCCAAUGUGACACCCAAAAAGAGUACUAAAAAUGUGCAAGAGAAUUCCAAUAAUAAAGCAUCAUGUUGAUGAAUACUAGAAUUUAAUCCUUUGCCACCAAUAGCACAACCUCCUAAUGAAUAUGUAUUUAUUAAAUUUGGGUCCAUGACACAUUUGAGUAUAUAGAAACCAAUUAUUGAGCCAAUGCAUUGUGCUAAGAUGUAAAGAAGUGCACGAGAAAGUGUGACAACACCUUUUAAUGCAGCUAUGAAUGUGAAAACAGGGCUCAUGUGACCACCGGAUAGAGGAAUUGUAACAAUUAGGAAUAAAAAGGCUAUGAUGAAAACUACAAUUGGAAUAAUAAGCUUAGGAUCGGUUUCAUGUGAGUCUAAGCAUGCAAUAAUGGAGCUUGUUAAGGUGAUCAUUAGAGAGGCAGUUGCUACUAAUUCUGUAAAAGCUGCUUUCCAUGUCUGAAAAAUAUAUUAAAAAUGAGUGUUAUUAUUUCCUAUACUUGAUACUUAAUUAGUGAUAAGAAAUUGAAACUUUUGGUUGCGUAUUAAUAAAGGACGCAUACUAAUAAAGGAUUUGGUGCUCAACUCUUGUAUGGAAUAAAAUAUAAAAAAAAAUGGGAAAAACCAAUGAAAAAAACUGAGCCACAUUUUGGCAAAAAUUAAGAAAUUAUAUAAUCACUCUCUCUCAUUUUUUCAUAAUUUUACUUAAUAAAUUGUAUUAAAAUAGAUCAGUGCUGUUGAAAUUUAAAAAUAGUUAUUGGUAAAAUCUAUUUAGUAAAUUUUUUAAAAGUAUUGGAUUGGAGGAAUUAGGUUUUUAUUAAGUAUUAAUAUUAAAUUAUAAAUAAGUCACGUGUAACUUUGAAAUUCAUUUAGCCACCCAACUACUAAGAGUAUCAUCAUUAUGGAAACUCUAAUAAUCUAUUAUAAACUAGAAAGUAAAUAAAAUUUGACUAAUGAUUGUUUAAAUAAAAGAUUAAACUCAAAUACUCUAUCAAUUCAACUUUAAAGAUAUGUUUGUAGAGUCAAAUGUGUCUAUAUAUAUAUAUAUAUAUAUAAGAGUUAUAAUGAGAAAUAUAUUUUUUAUGUGUAAGUGAGAGGAUGAAAUAUAUAUAUAUAUAUAUAUAUAUAUAUAUAUAUAUAUAUAUAUAUAUNNNNNNNNNNNNNNNNNNNNNNNNNNNNNNNNNNNNNNUUUUUGUGUGUGUGAGAGAGGAAGAGAUAUAUAUAUAUAUAUAUAUAUAUAUAUAUAUAUAUAUAUAUAUAUAUAUUCUUUUGAUUUUUAGAGGAAUAAAAUAAUGAUAAAUUGAAAUUUGAUUUAAAGGUAAAUAAAGUCGACCAAAUAUUAUUUUAGUGAGGAAUUCAAAUUUAGAAUUUUUAAAUGAAGUGAUUAACCAUUUAUCACUUAAUAAAAAAAUGAAUGAGACAAAGAAAGAAUGUAUAAUGGCUGAAAUUCAUAUUAACUAUUACCUCUGGGCUAAAAAACUCAUGAGAUCCAAUAGAAGCCCGAAACUUCCCUUUUAAAGGGUUUGUGGGCCCCAAACUAACUGUGUCACAAGUCUGAACAGAAAUGGAAAAAUCUUCAUCCACUACCCGUGAGUUAGUUGAAUUCAUGGGUCCUGUAUAUUUUAGAAAAAAAGUUUAUGGAUAAGUAUUUGGUUUUGUUGUAAUUUAUGGUUGAUAACAACCCUUGAGGUUUAGAUGAUUAACUAAGUGCUCACUACAAAAUGUUAUUUAUAGUGCAAUGACGUUAAUUGUUAUGUGCAUUAACUAAUGGAGUGAUUAAUUGUAUAACUUCGUGAUUAUCUAAGAAAUGUAUGUAUAGGCUUGAUUUCACUCAAUACUAACUUUCCUACAAAACAAACAGAAAAUUUCUAGUUUUUUCCAACUUGUUCAACGUGAGCAAUGCCAAUGUUUGGAUUUAUAAGUACAUUUUGAGAAUAAAAUUUAUCUUUAAAUAUAAGCAUUGUCUUAACAAGGAAAGGGUACAAUUUUUGGUACCAAAUAAGAUACUCAGAAUCUCACAUGAUGACAUUUACAAACAAUAUAUUAUAUUUUCCUCAAUUCUAUCUAAAAAUGACUAUAACAUACUAUAGAUUUAUUUAUUAUUUGAACAUUAAACUCAAUGCACAAAACCCAGGAAGGCCAAUGAUAACAGAUAGAUGGCCACAUGGACAUAGAAGUGGAAGCAGUAAAAAUAAAAUAAACCUAUCACUAAAUUGUGUUGUGCUAACUUGGGUUCCCUAGUGAUUUUCCUAGAAACAAAGGGAAUAGUCUUAAAGUCAUUAACCAGUGACUUGUGCAAGAGUUUAUCAAUUUUAGUGAGACCAGUGAGAGCAACACUAUCAGGAUCUUGUAAAAUUGGAUUAUGCAAAGGAUUCAAUGUUUAUAAAUAAUAUUAUUAAAUUUGUUAUGAUAUUGACAUACAUAUGACAUGAUAAAUAUAAUCAUUUUUAUCAAAAUAAAUAAAUAAAUAAAUAAAAUCAUAUUUUUAUCUUAUCAUACAUUUAUCUUGUUUUAUAUCAUAAAUUGUUUAUAUCAUAUUUUAAUUGUUAAAAAAUCCUAAGUUUUUUUUUUCAAAAUAAAUGUCAUUAUGAUAAUCGAAUGUACUAUCAGUUAAUUACAACUGUCGAAUCAAUUAAAAUAUUUGAUUUGUAUUUUAGCCACCUCUAAAAUCAUUAACAUGAUUAGUUGUGAUUGAUUAUCAAGGUCGUCUUAAUGUUUUUGGAGGCUCUAUUCAAAUUUAAAAAAUUAGACUCCUAUUAAAGAAUGUGAUUUAAUAGAUUAUCAAUCAUCUAUUAAUAAUGUUGUAAGUAAAUCAUUAAAUCAACAAUUUCAAACCAAUUGAAUUCUUAAAAUCAAUAAAUCUCAUAUAGUCUUUAUUCUUAGUACUUAUUUUGGACACAAUGUGCUAAUAUAUAAUUUUUAGGUAUUUAUUACGAGCACAAAGUACAAAUAUAAAAUUAUAUAGUAGUCAGUGUAAAAAUUAAAAAUAUCAAUACAAUUUUUCAAAAUUUAUGAUAUACUAUAAACAAAAAUUGAUGUCAUAUAGAUAUAUACCAAUGUUCUAGUUGCACAAUUAUCAACCAUGUUGACAACAUAAAACAUUUAAUAUUGAAAUUAAACUGCUAUUUGUUUAUAAAUACAUGAGUAUAAAAUUUCGUAAACUUAAAACUUACCUAUUUUAUUUUAUUUUAUAUUUUCAUGUUUUUGAGUAACUGAGCGGAAUGAAAUGUUGGUUAACAAAAAAAGGAAAAUGGUAUAAUGAUAUAAUGUUAUUGCAUGGUUAACAACAGAGUCAAUAUGUGUAAAUAACCAAAAAAAAAAUAAUCACAAUAUAUGUAUGUCUAUCGCAAGUCCUCAACUUAAAAAUUAAAUAAAAUUACUUUUUCUUUGCAAAAAGAUAAAAUUACAUUUGACUCACUUGAAAUGAAAGAUGUUUGAAUUGUAAUUUUCUUUUCUUUGAUGUUUUUUUUCAAAGACUAGAGACAUCUUUUUGACAAAAGAGGCUUUUUUUUGCGAUCAAUCUUCUUUUGGAAUUUUUUCUCUAUUUUUGGUCAAAAAAAAAUCCCUUUUUCUAAUUAACCAUAUUAAUAGCAAGCAGUUUUUAAUGUCAUUGCUAAAACAAAGUUUGGAAUGUGUCUAUUACCAACUAUAGAAAGAUCCUGCAAAAAAUAUAGAAAGAUAAAAGAUAAAGUAAAAACUUUUGACAAAUUUCUAAAGCCGAUAAAAGAUUAUAUAAAACAUAAUUUUUUUUCUCUAAAGUCACAAAUUAUUAAUUUAGUGUUCAAAAUUCCAUUGACAUUAAAAGUGUUAAAGAAAGAAAAUUCAAGUUUUUCUCAGGAGGAGUGUAAUUUACCCUAAGGAGUAUGUUCUACAUGUUUUUGUCAUAUAUAUUACAUGUUAUCUUCUUGUUUACUCAAUUACAUAGAAUUUUAAUACCUAUAUCGUACUAUUUCUCUAGAAAAUAAUUGUUUAUUUCUUUUGUUUUUAAUAAUAAUUGGUUUAACUUGAUAUUCCAUUUUAUUACUUUCUUAAUAAAUUAUAUAAAAAAGACAAAUGGAAGUGCAAUACAGCCAAUAUCAUCAAUUCGGUGGUAAAUAUCACAAAUUUGGUGAAGAAAUUAGAAUACACAAUAAAAAAUAAUAAUAAUGUUUGUAGAAUAAAAAUUAGUGUUUUGUUUUUCAAUGUUAUUUUUUAUUUUUAGUGGGAUGAAAAUGAAGAAAAGGUUUUAACAGAUACUUAUAUAAAGGAAUUCUUAGUUUAGAAGAAUAUAAAACAUAUUUAAGUUUCACCAAAAAAAAGUAUGUAUUGUAAAAAAUAACGUAUGUAACUUUAAAAUAUAGUAUUUAGAUAGUAUUGAUCAAAAUCGUUUUUUCAAUGUAUAAUUAGAUGGUACGAUUGGUUAAUAGUACAAAUUUGAUGUAACUAGUACUGAAAAUGAAUCCCAACCUCAUCCUAACAACUAAACUAUAACACGAUUACUAUGAAUAACUUACCUCCCAACUAACACACACUUAAUAAUAUGUAGAAUACCAAUUGCACACUUCAUAUCUUGUCUAUUAUAAACUUGUCACACUAUUACUCCAUGCAUGCCUAUAAAACUAUAUACAUUAAUGCUAAGUGUUGUGGAUAACUUUCACUGCAUAGAAAAUUAUACACAAGUUUAUCUAGCAAUUAACAAAGAAGAAAUAUGGGAGAAGAAGGUAUAGGGAGAGGUGUGACAAAGAAGGUGAACCCUGGGAAGGCUACUAUAUUGAGUCUUGGCAAGGCUUUCCCUCACCAGUUGGUGAUGCAAGAGUAUUUAGUUGAUGGAUAUUUUAGGGACACUAAUUGUGACAAUCCUGAGCUUAAGCAGAAGCUUGCUAGACUUUGUAAGUAUAUAUAAAUGUGAUUUCAUUUCAAUCACAAUUCCAUUGUUACACUUUAUUUCUUUUUGUUCUUAAAUAGUAGUAUGUUAUUUUGCAUAGUUACACUAAUAUGACUUCAUGUUGGUAUAAACAGGCAAGACAACCACAGUGAAAACAAGGUAUGUUGUUAUGUCUGAGGAGAUACUGAAAAAGUACCCGGAACUUGCCGUUGAAGGCGCUGCCACUGUUAAACAACGGCUAGAGAUAUGUAACAAGGCAGUGACACAAAUGGCGAUUGAAGCUUCCCAAGUUUGCAUAAAGAACUGGGGUAGAUCUUUAUCAGACAUAACUCAUGUGGUUUAUGUUUCGUCUAGUGAAGCUAGAUUACCUGGCGGUGAUCUUUACCUAUCCAAAGGACUUGGACUGAACCCUAUCAUUCAACGAACCAUGCUCUAUUUUGCCGGAUGCUCAGGAGGUGUGGCUGGUUUACGUGUUGCGAAAGACAUAGCUGAGAACAACCCUGGAAGCAGGGUGUUGCUUGCUACUUCUGAGACUACAAUUAUUGGGUUCAAGCCACCAAGCGCUGAUAGACCCUAUGAUCUUGUUGGGGUGGCACUCUUUGGUGAUGGUGCUGGUGCCAUGAUAAUCGGUUCAGACCCAGUAUCAGAAACGGAGACACCGUUGUUUGAGCUUCACACUGCAGCUCAAGAGUUUUUACCUGACACAGAGAAGAAAAUUGAUGGGAGGCUGACGGAGGAAGGGAUAAGCUUCAAGUUAGCAAGGGAACUUCCUCAGAUAAUUGAAGACAAUGUUGAGGGAUUCUGUGACAAACUAAUUGAUGUUGUUGGGUUGCAGAAUAAGGAUUACAAUAAGUUGUUCUGGGCUGUGCAUCCAGGAGGGCCUGCGAUACUGAAUCGCAUGGAGAAGCGGCUUGAUUUGUUGCCCGAGAAACUGAAUGCCAGUAGGAGAGCUCUCAUGGACUAUGGAAAUGCUAGCAGCAAUACCAUUGUUUAUGUGCUGGAGUAUAUGAUAGAAGAGGGCCUGAAGAUUAGAAAGGAAGGAGGAGGAGAUCCUGAAUGGGGCUUGAUACUUGCUUUUGGACCUGGAAUUACUUUUGAGGGGAUUCUAGCAAGGAACAUGUGUGCUUGAACUAUAAAACUAUUGUGCUACAAGGUUUAUUAACAUUGUUAUUAUUACUGUUAUCAUCGUUACAUAGGAUGUGUUUGUGAGAACAUCGCUUUCAAAAGCAAACUCAAAUUUAAUUAAUGAUCCAAUGAAGACUUUUAGUAUAUUGACUUAAUCCAAAAAAUUACUUUAAAGUAAGUUUAUGAACCAAAAUUUCAUUAAAUCGCGCUGCAAAGAAAAGAUCUACAGCAAUCCAAGACUCAGUAAGCAUGUGGAAUUGUUGUAACAAAACUGAAUUCUAUUAGUCUAAGAAAAUAAAGACUUAGGUAUAAAAGCACUUCCAACCAUAAUAAAUAACCUUACCUCAAACAUAAAAUAUAUUUAGUUUACUUUCAUCCCCAACUUUACACUUCCACCAAGGAACCGAAUAAGCAUGUCAACACAAAAUGUACUCUAAGUCUAACAUUGGUAACAACCAAACAUGAUGCCUGAUUAAGUUAAAAGAAAAUUUGAGGGUGUAGAUUAUCAAUCACACAACUCCGGAUGGAAGACGUAGAACAAGCUGUCCCCCGAAAACACUGCAAUUAAUUAAAAAUCAUUAGGACAACAGCAGAGUCACGCUGGAAAUUUCAUUACCAGCAAAAUCUGCAAGACGAAUGCAGAAAAACUAGUAGUAAAAAGAAAGAACAUUAUAAACUAUGCUAACCUUUUGACAUAAUAGUAACAGAAAUCUGCCAAGAUGAAGGUCUGGACAAUUUCUGAGAUAAGAACCAUUGACGGCCAUAACCCGUAACCCAAGGCAACCAACAAAUGUCCACGAGUAUCUAGCACCUGUUGCAAGAAAUAGUAUUCAAGUAAGCUACACAACAAAAGAAACGAGGCCAGAACAGCAGCAAUCAUGUAACCAGAUGACAAUCACUAAGAUGUAAACUUAAAGAGUCCGAACACACAAACAUCGCAAUUUAAUGAGUUGCUGCCAAUUUAAUGUAACUAGGAGAUUAAAUAUUUGGGUCAUCAAAUCAAUAUCUUUUGCAAAUACAUGGUAAGACCGCCUUAUCAGUUGUAGCCUACAACAUAUGCACAGUGGGUUUGACGUGUUUGACCCUUACAAAAUGGCAAGAGCUAUACAACAUACAAGUUUCCCUUUAAAAAUGGCUUAGUUAUACUUAUGCCAUUGAAAAAGAGAAACUAAAAUUAAUCAAAUAAUGUUCAUAUUCCACUCCAUCAACAGGAAAGAUAAUUCAGAAAAAUCUAUAAUUAUAAAUUCGCAAAUGAAUCAAAGGACUGACAAAUGAAAUUACAAAAUUUCAUGAACAGACCUGAAGAACCCAAUGAGCACAGCUCAAGAAUCUUGCUACGCCGAGUGCAAAUACAUAAUGAGCGGUGAAUGGCUCAACAAUCUGCAAGUACAAAAUGAAACAAUUCAGAAGGAAAGCAAUAGAAUUGGAUCCCAUACAUUAGAUGGUGGACAUAGAUCUUGGAGUUGGAAAACUAUACUUUGGUGUUCUGCAUAACCCGCAGUUGGGGUAGUACUGAAACAGCUUCCAGAUAUACACAGAAUGCCCAAAAAAUCCUGUUCAAUAUAUGAUGAGAAGUUGAUGGAUGAAUAAGUAAGGCUAACACGGCACAUGGUAUCACCUGCAUCCAUUUUCAAAAGUAUAUCAAUAUGAUGCUGUUGGAAGGUAAAUCCAUAAGUUACAAGCAGAAAGUGGCAAAAUCACAGCAUUUAAGAAGAGGUAUAAUUUAAAUUCUUAAUAACAUGCAGAGAGUAUAGGAACAAAAUACGGGAGGAUUAAAAGGAGAGCCGUGUUCAAAUGUGAUUGCAUCAGUUUUUGUUUGAUGACAUGGCACUUUGGUUCUUUUGCAUGUAUAUACAACAUCGCUCCCCUCCCAAGCCCAAAAACUAUAGUGUGCAGGAAUAUGAUGAGUUGGAAUUCUUUGUUCUCAGAACCGCAAGCUACAUUUAGAGAUUAGAACUAACAAGUCCAUUUUGCAUGAUAUCAUGCUUCACGAUACUAUUAUCGCAUGUAAUUCUACGGAUUCCAGAUUUUGUAAUCAUAUUAUUCAUGCGGAAGGAAAUUUGCUUUGUAUUGUAAAGACUCGGUGAAAAUAUAAUAUUUCAACUAUUGUCAAUAUAUACUACCAUUUCACACAAUUUCAUAAUGUCUAUCAUCUAACAAUACUGUAUUAAACACUCAAACUAAUAAUGCCAUUUACCAUAAAAGAGUAGGAAAAAAUGUUUCACCUUUGACACAACAAUAUAAAGAAAGCUAGGCUUUAAAAUUUAGGAUGAAAAAAUUGGAGCUUACCACAUAGUAUAUUGCAAAGUUAUCCUUCUCCUCCAUGUAACUAGCCUUAAGUUUAAAACGAAUCAUAUAAAUAACCCACACCGUAGUCACAAAAGUAGCCAAAUCAAGUAUGGUGUGUAUGUCAUAUUCCAUGACAAAGCUGCAAUACAGCCUAACAGCUAAGAACAUAGCUGUUAAUUCCUGGGAUUUGAGUGAUAAUCCUGCACAUCAUUCAAAACCAUUAUCAAAAUCCAAACAAAAAAAAAUAAAAUUUUUUAUUUAUACACUCUCUUAUUGAUCCAAAAACAAGUGACAAUACAUAGAUUAAUCCAACCACAAACACAAAUGAAAUUAACCCAACAAUGCCAAUCUAAUUGACGCCAUGGAGAAUUAAGGACAAAAUUCCAAUUUUUGUGAAGGAAAUCUAAACAGAUAAAAAUCCCAAAGAAUUGAUCUUUUUCCUUACCCGUGUUCUAAUUUUUUUGCCUGAGAAUUCCAACUAAGUAAAAUUAAUUUUUGAUAAAACUGAAAAGGGGGAAUUUUUAACCUAGCCAAUUCACAAAAACCCAAGAAAGCAAGAUACAAAUUCAACCCUAAACACAACAAAAAUCAAUUUUAUUUUUCAAAUCAAAGGGGAAAAAACAAGGGAUUUAGAGUGAACAAACCGGCACAAGUCUUCUCCUUCAUGAGUUUAUAGAUAAGAACGGAAAUUCCAAGAGAGUGAACAGCCUCGGCAGCAACGAAAAGGUUAUCGUGAUCGUGAACGAUGAAUCGGAGGAGGACGAGAGCGGCCAUACCGGAAACAACGGCAAGAAAAGCCUUGACCUUUGGAGGCUGUCGCCUGACCCAUGUGGAGAUAGCGUGGAUCGACGUUUUCUGAGGUCUCAUGGUGAUGAUGAAUGAAAUUAGGGUAUCGCUGAUUUUGGUAGCUGCGUAACUUUUUUUUUUAAUUUAUUUUUAUUUCUUGAGAGUUUUGAAAAGACAAGAGAACAGAACACAAAGACAGUUCAAUGGCCCAAACUGCAACCGUGGUAACAAACGAUUGGAAGGAUCUUUGGAUUUGAUGAGGGGGAUGAUAGAGAUAAAAAUAUUAAACCAAAACAAAACAACUUAAAAGUAACACAAAAUUUUAAGUAGUAAUUGUGUUAGGUUCAAUAAAUUAAAUAUUAAUUUCCAUGUUUUGAUUAAAGUAUAUUUGACUUUAGAGAAAAGUAAUAAAUAUAUUAUAAAUUAGGUGAUAUAAAUUAUGAGUUAUUCUAUAAAGAUUAUCUUUCAUCAAUGAUAUGAGAAAGGAAAAUUGGUAGAAUUAAAAAAAAAAAGAGUAAUAAAUAGUAAAUAAUAUAAUAGAAGUAUAAUUUAAAAUGGAGUGAGUAACAAUUAACAAAUAAGAUAGAUGACAUUAAACCUAAAGUUACUUUGUAAAAUUCUUUUAUCAUUAUGAAAAAGAUGUAUCCAUCAAAUAUACGUAUUCAAUUUGAAUCUUAUUUAUCUUUUUUUAGCACCAGAAAUUUAAGUCAUUCAUGUAUUUAAAAAAUCAAUUCAUGUGUCAAUUGCUUAACUAACAAGAGACACUUUUUUGACUAAAUUGUAGUGUAUUUUUUUAUUUUUUGCUUUAUGCAUUAUCUUUGCAAAUGAUGUAAGUGGAAUAAAUUAAAUUUUUUGAUAAAACUUAUUUUUAAUAAUAUUUUUUUAUAGGUUUCUAAAAUAAAUAAAUUUAAUAUUAUAAAAUAAGAUUUGACUCCUCUAAAUUAAAAAGUUAAUGAAAUAAAUAGUUUAAUAGUUGAUAUUAUAAUCACUCAUAAAUAUACACAUAUAUGUAUUUUAAUUGCUUUUGUAUAUAAACAUUUUAUUAUCAAUUCUACUAGUUAUUUAGUUAGUUUAUAUUGUUAGACUUAAUUUUAGUUGAAUAGUUAAUUUGUUAAUUAACUAACUAAUAUAUUUUUUUAAAUCAAAUAAAUAUAUUAAAAAAAGUUAUCUAAUGUACAAGGUGUAUCAAAGAAUGAUAAGUAAAUAUACAAAGUUCCAACCAAAUGCCGUAUAAAAUGGGCUUCUUAUUUUUUUCAAUACCCAUUUUUUUAAAAAAAUUAUUAAAAAUAUUUUCUUUUUAAAAUUAUAUAUUAAAAUAUUCUUUUAAAAUUCAUCCACAAGUCAUUGUUGUAAAUGGCGACUUUUUUAAAGAAACUUGAAUUUGCAAAUGCACUUUCAUAAAUAAUUUUUUAAAAAAAUCAACCUUUUUAAAUAAAAAAAUUAUUUUUUUUUAAUUUACUUAUCUUUAUUUUUCUCUUAUUAACGACUUAAAUAAAAAAUUGCAAUAUAUAUCAGAAAAAUAAUUAUUUUGUUAUAUUUUUUAACUUUUUCUUGAGAACAUUUUUAUCAAAGUUUUGUUGAAUUAUUUAUUCUCUUUUAUUUAAUCUUUGAAUAUUGAAAUUUUCUAUAAAAAAUAUAGAUUAAUCUAAUUCGUUUUUCCAACCAUUUUUUUUUAAUCAUCAGAAAACAUUUUUUGUCCUUCACGAAGCAAGAACCAUAUAAUUUCCAAUAUCAUUCAGCAACGAAGGAAGAGCAAGGAUAUGAGUGGUGAAGAUAAACAAUUGUGGAAUGACCAAGAAUCUCAAGCAACGGAUCAUGCAUAGAAGAAGAUGGAAAAUACAUCAAAUUAAUCUUCCAAAGUAAAAUAAAUAAGUAAAUAAAAAAAAAAAAAAUUAUCGAAAUCAACUACCAUCGUAAAACAAAGUAUUGUUUAUAAAUUUCUGACAAGGCUUUCGGGAAAUAAACAAAAAAGUCAAGUGAAAAUGAGUUUGUUACAAAAGUAGAUAACAAGGUCAAAGUGUUGAUUAUAAAAAAUAACAUCAGAUUUAUUAGUUGAAUAGUGUUGUUUAUUACAAGUAGUGAUAUAUAGGUUAUUAUCUAAAAGGAUUAGUUACUUUCACGUAUGAUUUUUGUGUUUUUUUGUUAAUAUCAUUGUAAUCAUAAAUAAUUUUUUUAUUCAAUUUUAGUCUAAUUAAGAUUUUAAUUAAGUCUUCUCAGAAAUUCAUUCUUGAUAUUUUUCAAAUUCAAAUGUAAUAAACAUUUUAUAAUUUGAAAGAUAAAAUAUCAAAUUUAAGUGUAAUAAACACUUGAAAGAUAUAUUAGAUAUCUAGUUAGUGUAUAUUGUUAGACAAAGUCUUAGUUAGUUUAUUAACUAACUAACUAUAUUAUAGUUAAUAUUAAUUAGUUAAUUAAUUGUCUUAAUUAAUUAUUUAUCUAAUUAGUUAUAUCAAUUUAUGUGUUUUUGAUGUAAUUCAUUUUUUUAAUUUUUAAUAUUAUUCAUUUUUUUUUUAUUUUCUCUUUUAUCAAUAAUUUUUAUUUUCUCUUUUAUCAAUAACUUAAAUAAAAAGUAAUAAUAAACAUAUUACAUUAAUCAGAGUAAAAGUAAACUAAGUUGUUUUCUUUUAAACAAUAUCUCAAAUUAAAGACUACUCAUUUCAACUUAUUGCAUCAUUUCAUGAAAUGAUGUCACAUUUUAUUUAAAAAGAUCUUAAACUAUCUUGAUAAAUAUCUACAUCGAUUCAAUACAUAUGUAAAAAUGUAUUAUGUAAUUAAAUCUUUAAAAUAUAUGUAUAAUGUGAUUCUUCUUAUACAUUUGUUUAUUUUAGUCGGUGUACAUGGAUUGUUUUUUUAAUCAAUACAUGGUUUGUUAAUAUUGUUUUAAAAAUAAAGAUUAAUAAUGUAAAUUAAAUUAACGAGGAUAAAAAAUGAGAGCAAAAUUAUAUUUUAUAGGACUGUUUGAUAGCAAAAUAACAUAUAUUAUUAUAUCUUGUUUGAAUAUUAUUUUUUAUGAAUAAAAAAAUAUGAUAAAAUAUUAUCCAAUUCUAUCAUAUUUUGUUUUCGUAGUUAUAAUUAUUAUCUUAAAUAUGAAGUAAGUUAGAAAUCAACAGAAUAAGAACAUUAAAUUAAUCAGUCGUUUUUAUAAAAUAUAAUUUAAAAUAUACACCACUGAAAUCUAAUAAAAUAUAAAUAAAAAUAAUAAAUUUUAUUAUUAAAUUUAAAAUUAAAAUAUUUUUAAUUAAUUUUAAAAAACUAUAAGAUUUAUCACAAGAGUAGUUUGUCAUUUUAUAUAAUCUAAUAAACUAUUAUUUAAAAUUAUAAAUUUUGAAUAUUAAAAUAAAUAUAAUUUUUUACAAAGGUAAUUUUGUCAUUUACAUAUAAUAUAUACCAUAUUAACAAAUAAAAUAGAAUUAUUUAGUUAUUUCAUGAUUGUUUUUUAAAUUAAAAUUAUUUAUUUAGUAGUGCCAGUGAAUUUCUUUUAUAUAUAAAAUCAUUCAAUAGUUAUUUAAUUUUUUAUACUAUUUUUUUGUUAAUUUAUAAUUUUUAAAAGUAUUGUGUAAUUUUAUUUGAAAAAAAUAGUAUAUAAUUAUUUCACAAUGAUUUUUUUUCUUCAUUAAUUCACAAUGAUAAUUUUGUCAUUUAAAUAUAAUAUAUUAUAUCAUAUCAUAAUGAAAUGAGGUGUGUUCCAAAUAAAAAUGACUUGAUAAGAGGUGUGUUCCAAAUAAAAAUGACUUGAUAAGAGGUGUGUUCCAAAUAAAAAUGACUUGAUAAGAGGUGUGUUCCAAAUAAAAAUGACUUGAUAAACAUAUAAUAGAAUAAUGUUUAUCGCAUCAUUAUCUUAUCUUUAUCUUGCUUUAUAUCAUAUUUUAUCUCUAUCAUAUCAUGCGCAUCAAAUAAGUCUUAUAAGUUAUAAAUAAACGUAUAGUAAAGUCAGAUUACUAAUUUAUAGGCAAUAACCUAAUAAAAUCAAAAGAAUGUGUUUAAGGUUAUAUUGUUUUCCAUAAGCAUUCUUCUAUCUUAUAGGCUAUUAUUUUUUUCUUUCAAUUUUAUGAUGAGUUAAAAUAGAAUCAUUAAUAGUUAGCAUUGUUUGUUUUAAAAUAGAGAGGUUAUGGUCCCCAAAUCAUACACCAAUAACCAUAUUUUAUUUUUUACAUCUCAUUUUCACAUUGAGAGUCUAUGUUCAUCAAGAAGGUCAAACUUUGGUUAUCGUGAAUUCAUGUACUCUUCCAUAUAAAAAGGUUUAAUUUGGUUCAAACCUUUUAAACUUUUAAAAAAGUAGAAAGAUGUUUUUUCAGUCAAAGAUUAUUACAAUUUACAACAGUAAGGAUUGAGACUAGAUAUUGGCAUCGUAUGAAGGAAGGAAUGAUGUACUGAUGUUAAUGUUACUAUCUCACAUGCUAUAUAGUAUGAUGACGCCAACCAUCAACAAGGCUACAUUGAUUACAUUCUAUAUUGUCUAAUGCCUUGAUAAUCCUAAUUGGUAACAAUAAUAACAAGGCAUUUGGCUCUCUAUACAUGAUCUAACUGUACAUAUCAUCUACUAAGAAAUUCAUGCAUUUCCUAACAACUUUGGACAAAAGCAACAAUCAAUUCCUAAAAACUCCUAACGUAAUGCAUCUCACGAAGAGAAUAUACUCAAAAAAAUUGAACUAAAAAUGUUUAUGAGCUUUACAGUGUUUCACCUUGCCCUUCUUCCCUCGACCAUUGCAUUCACCAUGUAUUUGAUCUUCUGUGUUGAGGCCUUAGGAGUUUAUCUUCCUCAAAGGCCACCAUACGCAAAUGCGAUGGAUCAUUUAGCAUCUCCCUAGCCACUAAGUAUCCAGCAAUGGACCAAGUUUGGAGUUUCCUGGCUUGCUUCCCAAUGUAUCUACCAUGCUUUCCAUCAUAAUAUUCAGGCCAGUUGUCCUUCAAUAAUCUUGUUUCAGUUAUGUCAAGGGCACGUCUUGCAAUAUGGGGCCUUCCUGUUUUGAUUGAUGCCGCAGUAAGAAGCCAUAAAAGAACUGGAACCAUUGUGAUGGGGAGAAGAUUAUGUGAAACAUAAGUAAAUUACUAUGAUAGAGAGAAAAUAAAAUGCUAGUAGGUGAAUGUGUAUUUCUAGAAACAAUGAAAAUAAUUCUUUUGGUUUUUUCAUUGUUUUUGUUAGAGUGUCUUAUUUCUUUGUUAACAAGUAAAAUUAACACAAAUUUUAUAAAAGAAAAAUAGAAAAUGUUUUCACAAAAUAGACUCUCAAAUUGGAUGAAAUUUUUGUAGAUACAAAAAAAUAAAAUAAAAAUUAUCAUAUUUUGGAAACUAAAAGCAUAUUUAAGUCUUUAGUAAUAGAUCAUAAAAGGCUUGUAUUCACUGGCUGCUAGAAACUCAGAACUGUAACAUGGUUCCAUGCAAAUGGGGCCUAAAGGCAGAAGAAUAUAUACCUGGCCAGGAUCCACCAUUAUGAUAACUCCAUCUUGUAUUUUUGGGAUCACAUCCUGUUAUGAUCCUCCAUUCAUGAUUUUCAAGUGCUGGGUAGCAAAUUUUUGCAGGCAUCUCUCCAAUCAAUGCAUCCCAACGUGAUUCUAUAAGAUCCAUGAUUGCAAUGGAUUGCUCAGGAGUAGCCAAGCAUGACAAAAUUGCAAUGCAAUUACCAAGGCAAAACCACCGGAAAUCCAUCCUAGCAGGACUUACAUUCCCAAUGAAGUAACCUCCAUGAUGAGGCAUGAAAUCAAAAAUCCAAUCAGGUAGAGAAUCAGGAAUUACAUUGAACUUGUUAACUGCAGUAUGCGAGUACUCUUCUGUUUUGUACCUAUAUACAUCGUUAAGUUGCUUUAAAUCCAACCAAAAAUAGUUUCUCAGAUGAUAGCUUAAGGCAUUCAAACGUGACACUAUUCUUUCCAUGAACUCCUUCCCUUCAUCAUCUUGCUUAAGCAAAUGCAUGGCACACCUUAAAGCCAUGUAGAACAGUGCUUGAAUUUCAAUUGGAUAACCAUAAAGACCCUGAAAACUUGGUCAAAAAAUGGAUGUAAGAAACUUUGAUGAAGUGUUUCUAAAUGUAUAACCUACACUUCAAUUCUUCAUAUUAAUGGUAUGUGUAAUGUCUGACGCGUGUCAAUGUCCAUUGCUAACACGACACAGACACAUGUGAUUACAUUUAAUUACUAUUUUUUUUUAAUGUUCGUAUCAAUGUCUCAUAUUUGUGUUUGUGUCAGUGCUUCAUAUAAUCGUAUGUUGCACUCUUUAUAAAUCAACAAAAUAAUCUUUCCCUAUAACUAAUUCCUUAUUUUUAGUUUCUAAACAAUGUAAAACAUGAUGGUCUAUCAAAAUUAGAACAAAAGUAUAGUACUUACCAUUCUACGAUCAAUCAUGCAGCAUCCAUCAGCACAUAGUAGAGUUGGAAACGUGUCAAAUCCUUCUGCAAGGCAUAAAUUGAGAAUCAAACGCAUACCCUCCUGACAUUCAGCAGUUUCAGACAAGGAAACGUCUCCUGUAGACUUUGUGUAUGCACGAAGUAAUAUAAUCCACCAAAAUCCAGAAUCAACAGGAGCAACCCUGCCUAUUGCACUUCCACCAAAGUCAGCAUCCAAUGACUCACUGUUCUUUCCUGGUUCACGUUUCACCUUAAAACUAGCUGGCAUUACACCUGCUGAUAGGUGAAACCUAUCAACUGUUUUCGUCGAUGAUUGAAGGCGAAGAGUAGUUUUCAGAAAAUUCUUAACAAUGCCAUGUUCCUUCUUCAUCAGAAAAGCAAGAGCGCUGGGCACAAAGUCUCUAACAAACACCUAGACACGUAUAUAGACAAUACCAUUUGUUAAGUCUCCCAAUAACAACUCAAAAGGGGUGUGAUAAAAUAAGCAUAAUGAUCAAAGUCACUGAUCUAGCUUGACAAUGCAAGUAAGAAAGAUGAAAAAGGAUACAUAAAUAGAAACUAAAAAAUAAAGUCAUUCAUUUACCUAUAUUCUAGCUUAUGUAUCUGAUUUAAUAUAUGAUUCAAGCUAGAAAGAGUAAACAAUCAAUUUAACAUAGGGUCAUACAAUUUAGUCAUUGAAAUUAGCAAAAUUCAAAACUUAUUCAUAAAACUAAAGACCUUUGAUUACACUAAUCCGUCGUAGACAAUGUGAGGAACUAAAUUGACAACCUGAAAGGACUAGUAUAAUAGAAGAUUAUCAAUUUCAAAAUCAUUUUGAAAUUUCGAUAAAUUCAGGAUAAAAUUGUCCAUCGUUACAAUUUAAUAGACUAAUUCGUAAUUCACUCAAUCAAACCAGUAGUAAAUGUAAAUCCAUCAAAGGCAUGGCUUAUUGUACUUGGACAGGUAAACUGAAUCACACUAUAUGAAACGACUUGGAGAAGGUAAUUUUCACAAUCUCGCUAUCAUCAUUCACCUAGUAUAUUAACACAAAAGUUGGCUAAAUUUUGCUGAGAAAAACAAGAAAUAGAUGCAUUAAUUGAAUUUAAUUAGAAGAUAAGAACAGUGUGGCACCUGAUCAUAAUUAAGUUUCUCAUCAGAAGAAUCCAAAGCAGCAAUAGUACCAACAGGGACACCGCGAAAAUACACCAAGGAGUGUCUCAUAGAUUCCCAAGCUUCAGAUAUCAUUGGUUGUGGAUCCAAUGGUAAUGAUAUUUGAGAAAACAAAGCUGAGUUUUGCAGAAGAGGAUCUGCCUUAUUAUUAUCAGAAUGUUCCACCUUGUUAGAAGAGUUCUCUGCAAUUUGGGUGCAAAAUAGUGGACCCACUGAUCCUCCUCGAUCCAAUGGUUUCAAUGAUCUAUCCAUAAGUAUUGCAAUUUCACUAGUAAUGUAACGAUCAAAUUCUGCAAUUAGGUCAAAAUUAUUACUUUCAUGCUCUUGUGAGUACUAAUUAAAUUCCAUAUUUGGUAAUUAACACUUAAAAGACCAUGAAAUUUUGGCUUAUGAUUUAAAACAUACAUAAUUUUAUAGAUUCCUAAAAGCAAGAAACUGAUGCAUCAUUCUUUUUCCCUAAUAGUACGUAACACUCUUAUUAUGCACCAAUCUUUUUCCCUAAAUAAAGGAAACCCGAAUCACAUGAAACCAAUACAUACACACACACAAGCAUUCAUGUAAUCAAAUAUUAGAAUGAGAGAAAACCAUUAAGAAAUAAAAGAAAAAGAAAGAAACGCAAAAUGAUGAAGAUGAGGAGCUAGGAAGGACGGCAACAAAAAGAGCAUGAGUGAUUAAUGGAAACAAGAUCAAAAGAAGAAGAUAUGCAUGGAUGCAUAUUGAAUAUAUUGAAGAACAUAUAGUAAUAAUAAUAACAAUAAUUAAGAGGUAACAUUGGAAUGAAGAAAACUAACUCCAGAAAUUGAAUGAAGAGAGAAAGAGGGUGCACUGAGCAGUAGCCAAGAGAACAAGAACGUGAGUGUGGGUUUCUUGCUUUGAACGUUCUCUUUUUGUAUUUUGGCGGUUGCUUUCUUAUAUUUUCAAAUUAAAUUUAUUUAAACGUGAAUAUAAAAAAUAAAAUACAAACACUUAAUUUGACAUCAUGUAUAGUUAUCUCUAACUCUUCUUAUUUUUUAUUAUUUCGAAAGAGUGUGCACUGUGCAGUAGCCAAGAGAACAAGAACGUGAGUGUGGGUUUCUUGCUUUGAACGUUCUCUUUUUGUAUUUUGGCGGUUGCUUUCUUAUAUUUUCAAAUUAAAUUUAUUUAAACGUGAAUAUAAAAAAUAAAAUACAAACACUUAAUUUGACAUCAUGUAUAGUUAUCUCUAACUCUUCUUAUUUUUUAUUAUUUCGGACUUACACACAAGAGUCAAAUUAAAUAAAAAAUAAUUUUCAAUAAAGAUUUUCCGUUAUUUAUUUUUCAGUUUAAUGUUUUUUAGUAUUAAAAAAUGAUUUAAUUUCUAUGUAUUGUAAUCUAAAAACAUUUAUGCUAUCAUAACAUUAUUGGAUGUAUAUGUAAAUAGUUUUAUGAAAAAAAAAUAUUUCGAAAAAUACUAAGCUAAAGAAGUCAAACUAUAUAGAUCAUCUAAAAGCAACUCUUAGACGUACCUUAUUGUCCAAGAAAGAGAUACAUUAGGCCAUUUGUUUUGAAAAUCAAGUUGGCGUUGGACUAUCUUUGAGCUCGACCUCAAGGUCGUGUAAAUAUGGUUAUGUUUUUUCUCAAUCUCUUAUACAAAAUAUCUCAUCUAUCCUAAAGUUUCCAUGGUAUUAAAAUUAACACCAAUAAAUAUAUUUUUCAUUACAAUCAACGGUAAGUCUCUAUUAUUUAAAAGACAAUACUAAUAAUUUUAUUAUGUAAAAAUAAUAAUUUUUAACAUAAGUAUAAUAAUAAUAAAAAAAAAUUGAAAAAAAAAAAAGUGUCUGUGAGCAGUCCACUAGUGAAACCCUUGAACCUAUUAUUCGCGCCUCGUCAUCUUGACCUCGCCUCUCUUCCCUCCUCCCUGGUUCGAGUGCUCCUCUCGUCCGUCGUAUUCGUCUUUUGCCUGCGCCUCAGGUUGCUUCGUUAACAGAGUACAUCUUCAAUCAUUUUUCUCUCUCUCUCUCUCUCUCUCUCUCUCUUUGUUAGUAAAUAUGAACUAUACCUAUCUUAAUACUUCGGGUUAACAGAGUAAAACCUCAAAACAUUAUCUCCUUCGUCAUUUUCAUGCUUUUUUCUUCUUCUCCGUUUUACUUUAAUAUAGGUAAAUCUUAAAUAUAGUUGAUUUUAGUGAUACGAGCUUAAACCCUUAACGUUUUUUGUUCCACUGUAGGGUUUAUCAUUAUACGCAUAAUUCAGAAUUCCUCCUAAUUCAAAUAAAAUUCGACAAUGCCCGAUUUGGAAUCAAAUUCCAAGACGCAAAGCCGUAAGCGAAAGCAGAAAAUCGAUGAUGAAUCCCAAAAACCUUCUAAACUGCAUCGUUUGGAGAAGUCUCAGGACCCUGGGAAUUUUUCCACUCCUUGGAACAAUCUUCAAUUGAUACUCUGCAUCCAAGACAAACACCUUGAUCUUCAAAGGUUAUUUUCUGUUAUUUUCAACCAUCUUUAUAUUUUGUUAUAUAUGCAACAUGUUUUCAAGUAAUCAAAUCCUUUUAACAGUGUGAUGACACUGAGAUGUUUUUUGUGUGUGUUAGUGCAGUAAGGUCAAUCAAGCAUUCAGUUUUGUUCAUUCAAGGGUGGAUGAUGGUGUUGACAAUGAUCAGCAUUGUGAAACUAUAAAACUACCAAGACUACUAUGUUACCUUAAUGAGUGGAUCCUGACAGUGUUGUUCCCUCCAAAUGGGAAGGAAAACUGGGGCGAUGGGAAAACACCCAAGCUUGAUGGAAUUGAGGCAUAUAUGGAUCUUCGUUGUUGGGAGAUUUUCAAGUUUUGCUUGCAGGAGUCUUUGAAGAUUCAUGUCUCUCUGAAUAUGUCGCGAAACAUUCUACAGACUGUUCAAUUUAUUGUCAGAAAUAGUCUGUUCCUGCUAGAGGACUUAUCUACAUGUUCAGGAGAAGAUUUUAAAUCUGAUGAAAAGUUUAAACGGUAUGAUACUGCUCUUGAUUGUGUUUCGUUGGUGUUCUCAUCCCAUGGUGGUUUGUCAAAUGAAAAUUUGGACUUAUGGGUUGAAACGACUGGAGCAGCGGUUGAGCUCGUCCUAAAAAUACAUGGCAAGAACCUUGACGGAAGCUGUGUGGGUUCUUUUGCAUUACGCUCUUUGUGGUUGGUGCUUCAGCCUUUCUCCAUGUUUUUGAGGGUCCAUCCAGCUAGGAAAGGAUUUCAAAAUUUUGUGGAUAAACUUCUCGAGCCAUUGUUGCAAUUGUCAGGCGAGUUGCAACUUCGGGUUAAUGGAAGAGAUCCCAUUUGGACAGGGAGAUUGAUGAAGGUGGUGGAAGAAGUUCUUACUCAUGGACUUUUUCACCCAGUUCAUAUUGAUGAAUUUUUAAGCUUAAACGGUUCAGAAAAGUAUGUCGCUUCAUGUGAUGAUAAACCUAAAGAUUCAAAAGCCUCUAUUAAGAGUUAUCAUAGACAUUUGUUUGAUGUGCUGAACAAAAUUAUAUCCAGAAAGAAUGCUAUAGCAAUGGGUAGCUUAGGUUUGUUAUUUCGCUUGUAUGCUGAUUCUGCAAGAAAGUUCAAGGGAACUUCAGUUUUGUAUGAAGGGAACAAUACAAUGGAGAAAAUAAAUGAUUUAAGGCAACCUGUGUCAGGAGAAACUUCUAGCUCUAAUAAUAUUUCUGUAGAUACUCAAAAAUCCCUUUUUAAUUUUUUGGUACUGAUUAUGGAGCCUCUUUUGCUUGAGAUUAAUACCUGUCUCCAAGCUAAAAUAGAUGCCGAACUGCUUUUUUCUGAUCUUUUUGGUAUACUGAAGUCUAUUGGUAAUUUGCUUGCUAGUUUUCUGCAAGAGAAAGUAUAUGUAAAAACAGAGGACACAUCUGGAGGAGCUUGUCUUAAUUUCUUGAAGAAAAUAUUCAGUUCAUUGAUAGCUAGUUCCACUAGUGUACUCUGCUUGUCCAACUAUGAUACAAAUAACAUGAAGGGGGCGGAAACAUUUAUUUUAGCAGCUAACGAGAUAUUAGUUGCAAUGGGUUAUCUUUUGGAAAUUGAAUAUGAGGUUAUUGGAGAAGAUUUGGUGAAUUUAUGGUUUAUUUUGUUAUCAUACUCUGCCAUCAAUUGCAAUUUGUCAAAUGCUUUUGAUCGAUGCUCAUUAUCUUCCACCAUUCCUGACUUGGGGUGCCAAAUAAUUAAUCUCUACAGUCAACUUCGCCAGGUUUGUAUCAAAACCCUGAAUUCCAAAGAAAUUAUGUGUUAGAGGUUUGCAUGGAUAUUUCCUUGUGAUUUGAUUACUGUACUUUGUGUGUCGGUAACUCGUACUAAUUCUAGGUAUGACUAUUUGGCAGAGGGAAGGGAAAUGAUGGUCAGGGAAAAUCUUAAAGCAAGUUGUUAUAUUCACAAUUUAGUGAGCUAACGUCACAUUUUGUCUGUUAAAUGAUGUAGGUACAAAUUGCCAUCUUAACAUUGUGCAAAGCACUUAGGCUUUUGACUUGUGAUGCUGAAGAAAGUUCUUCUAAGUUCUUGACAUUUAUAUCUAAUGAUGUUUAUUCCGAAUCAGUUGAAAGGAUGUUAUCUUCACAUAAGUUCAUCCACACCAUUUAUAAAGCCAUGGAAUCUAUUCCAGAAGGGCAAGUGAGUGGUUUUAUUAAACAGAUAACAGAUGAUAUAUCUGAAACUCUUAGGUGGAUGAAAGACUGCUCUCCAUUGGUUGAUAAAAACAAAUUACGGAUGAUUAAUCUGCAGGCAGAGCUCCUGGGUAGAGGGCUCUCUAGACUGUAUUCUUUAGUGCUUGAUUCAGCCACUAUAACUGAAGGCAAUAGCAAUCUUCUUGGAGUUGCUGUUAAAGAACUUAUGUCAUUGUUGCGUCCCUACUUGAGUAUUCUAGUUAUACAACAAACAGAUACUAUUUGCAAGUUUUUUUCAUCUGUAAUAGGAGAAACUGUUGAUCAGGUUGUUGGAAAGGGAAAGGUUUUGAAGAAAUUUGGUAGGUCCAGUCAAUGGGUCUUUGUGUUCUUUUUUCAGUUGUUUGCAUCCAGCCGAAGCUUGCUUAGGCAAGCAAUCAGCCUUAUGCCUCCCAGUUUAUCAAAAAAAGUGUCUGCCGAGAUGGGGGAUUACUCAGCAUAUUCUGCCUUUGAGUUGAUGGAGAAGACUGAUGAGACUGACAUCAGUUUCUUUUCAUGGAUUGUCCAACCUUCUGCUUCCCUUCUUGUUGUUAUGCAAUUAAUUUCAGACUUCUAUCUAAAGUAUGGCUUCGACGAUUCUUCCCCUCUGGUUUAUAUAUUUCAGUCUAUGGCUCUUCAGAGGCUUGUUGACUUGAAUAGGCACAUUAUAUUGUUGAAUUAUUUGCAAAAGAAACAUUAUAAAUCACGAAUCAAGGCCUUGAAGGAAGAAGCUACUGGACUUACUAGUUUUAUCAUGGAAAACUUAUCAUGUGUGUAUCAAUCCCCGAUCUUUGUUUCUGAUGAUGUAAAAUGUGAAGAUUUAGUUUCUUUGGCUCCUCAAAUCAACAAAUGGAAUCAGGGAAUUUAUGUUGCUAACAAAAAUUCAUUGCCAAUAGCCAUUUGGUCAAAUCUCUGCAAAAAUAUUGAUAUUUGGGGAAACCAUGGUUCCAAGAAACAGUUGAAAAAAUUCUUCUCACAUUUACUUCGUACUUCCCUUCACUGUGCAUCAAGCAGUUUGCAUGACCUAGACAUGCAAGAUGAGUGUAAGCUACUCAAGAGAGUCACCUUGCCGCAUAUAUCAUUAGACCUUCUAAGUGAUUCAAUUUUGUACGAACAAAAGGUAAGAUGCUUUGGUUAUACACAAUUUUUAUGUUUAUCUCGUACACACUCACACACAGAGACACACUCAUGAGUAAUCUAGUAAAGAAUUGCAUAUUAAUCUUUUUGCCAGUGUUUGUUUCAGCUUAGUUCUGAUUUAUGGAAACUUUAAUUUGUUUCUAGUUUGAUGUGAUGCUUUGAGUAAGAAAACGACUAUAUCUAUAGGUAUUCAUUUUAUGUUGUUGUUUUAGUUUGUCCACAGGAAUCUAGCCACAAUCUUUUGCAGUGCUUUAGAGAAAUCUGUAUUACCAUUGUUUAGUAAUAUUGCAUGUACUGCUGUCGAGCUUCAGUCAGCACCUAACUGGAUAGAGUGUUUAAGUGCCCUCGACAACUCAGCACUUGUAAAAAAUAAAGAGGUUCCAGUUGAAAAGCUAGCCGCCCAUUCAUCUGACAAGCUUAAUGCAGAUAUCAGCAGCAGAGAAAAUGCCUCCCCUCUUACCAUCAAAAGUUUCACAGAUUGCCACCAUUUGCUUAAUCUCUUAUCUUUGAUGGUCGAUGUAAAUGCAGGAUCAUCUUCACAUAUUGUGACUAGUAUUUUCAACCUUGAAAGGUACAGUCAUCUCUGUGUUGGAUACUACUUUAUCGUCUUGUGUGUGUGUAAAUAAAAGAACUAAUUAUAUAUAUAUAUAUAGAGAGAGAGAGAGCGUAUCAAAUGAGAGGAGUUUUACAGUGAGAGGGUUAAAUCUUGACCACAUAAUUAUACAUGGAUGGUCAAGAUUAGAAGAAAAAGUCAUGUGACUUUUUUAAGUGAUCAUGUGUCACUUAAAUAACUUUUAAUCAUGAUCAUCCAUGUAUAGUUGUAUGGUCAAGAUUUAACUCUCUCACCCGGUCAUUCUAAAACUCCUCCCAUUUUAUAUGCCCCCUAUAUAUAUAUUUGAUUAAAAAGAACUAAUUCUGUUACAGAGGAGAAAAUGUUUAACUAGUGCAAAAAAGAGUGUGAAUAUAAAAGAUAAAAAUGCCACAAAAGUUUCUGAUUUUGCUGAUAUUGUAAAUGGGAACUUUCGUGCCAUAAACACUCAUGCCAUAAUUUGAUCAAUUGCUCCUAUUUAAAUAGCACUUCAAAAAUAGACCUACUAUCAUUUUUAAUAACUUCACUUUGGCAAUAAGACAUGAAAUCAAUGCACCCCAUACUUCUGUUUUAUAUCUUCACAAAUAAGAAAUUAAUUUGCUGAAAAUGCAAAACCAUCUCUGUUUGCAAAGAAAUUUUCAAAUUUGUUUAUUACACUCAUUGGCCCUUGCUGAUCACAAGGAAAUCCAAAUCAAUGUGAACCUGUGAUAAAGAUGUCUUAGACACUUUUCUUAAUGUCUUAGACACAUUUUGUUGUUUGUGCCAAGGAUUUCUGUCGAGCAUAAUUUGUGUAACACUUAAAUGAUUAAUUUCAGUUUCUGUCUGCAUAAUCUUUGCAGGCUUCUUGUAAAUGCCUUGGUGUAUUUUCAGAGCACAGUGUACCAGGACUACUAUUGUGAGUAUUUGAGAUUAUUUGUCUCUUGCCGGAAGGCCUUAAGAUAUAUAUUAGUGGGAUUAUGUGAGAAGACAGACACCAUCCAAUCCUCACCAAAUUCGGUUAUUUCUGAAAGUUCAUUUCCUGUUUUGUGGCUUUCAAAGUCUUUAUAUGUGACUGUUGGAAUUCGCGAUAUUUUCUCAGCAGAAAAUGUUCUAUCUAAAUCUUUGAUGUUUUCUUUAAUGGAUCACACCUCGUAUGCCUUGUUGGGCAUUGGAAAACGUCAAAUUAUCCAUGCUUUUUCCAUUGAUAAAGAAGCUGAGAUGCCUUGCGAAGAAAUCUCUGAUCACAAAAUUAGUCAUGGAGAGAAUGAUUUGCUUUCAUCUUCUCCAUAUGUAGAUUCUUCCAAGCUUGAGGCAUUGAAAUGUUUAACCUUUAUGGCUGAGAAUUUGAAAGAGCUGAUGCAAAACGUGCUUGUUUCUCAAAAGGAUAACCCUUGCUGUGUCAAUGUGGGACAUUGUCUUACUUUGGAAAACAUUAAUAGACUGUCUGCUGCAGUUUCAUGCUUUAGUGGGGUUUUGUGGGGCCUAACAUCUGCCCUGGGCCAAACAGAUGCUAAAGAUAGCAGCCAUAUAGAAAAAGUGUUGACGUGGAAACGCGAACAUGGCUCUGAACUAAAUAGUUGUAUAUUUUCUUUUGUGGAAGUUGUUGAUUUUUUCAUAAACAAAAUUCUCUGUGAGAAUAAUCAACUCUCUGAAAGUUUACAUGAUACCCAGAGUUUUGAAAAUCCAGUGUUCAACUUAUCUUUGUCUGGUACAGAGUAUUUGUCACCAGAAUGUGCAGUUUCUAAGGCUAAUGCCUCAGCUGGAACACAAAUAGAAUCUAAAGCGGAAGCUAUUUGCUCCACUUCAUCAGCAAUUGAUGAUGUCUCCAGACGUGACAGUGAUGUUGAAAGAAUGUUAAAUUCAGAAAGUGUAAACUUUGUUGCCAGUGUUUUGGCUAGGGAUGAUUCCCCUGAGUCACUGGGUCUGAAUAAACCUUUGUUACAAAGCUUGGUAAAAGGUGAUAAUCCUGAAGUAGCUUUUUUGCUAAGACAACUGUUAAUAGCUUCGUCGUCUCUUUUGAGGCUAAAUUUGCAGAAGGAUGAUUCGCCAUUGCCUUCAAGUUUUGUGCCUACUUUUAUCAAAAUCUCACAAAUCUUGUUAUUAGAAUUUACAGAGAUGGUUGGGGUCCCACAACAACCUGCUUUUCUUUUGUUAGAUGGUGCUCUCAGCUAUUUGAGAGAAUUAGCAAGUUAUUUUCGAUUCAUUGAUCCUACCUCAUCGAGUAAAGUUUAUACAAAAUUAGUACAGAUUCAUAUGAGGGCAAUAGGCAAGUCCAUAUUGUUGCAAGGAAAAAGGGCAACGCUAACCUUACACGAAAGACAGUCAAGUACGAAGACACUACAUAAAGGAUCAUUUGAAGCUUGCUCUUCUAAUGAAAUGUAUGAUUUUUGCUUGGAUGAAUUGAAAACUAGGCUGCGGGUGUCUUUCAAAGCAUAUUUAGAGAGGCAAUCAGAGUUGCAUCUUUUGUCUACUAUACAGGCCAUUGAGAGAGCUCUAGUUGGAGUACAAGAAGGAUGUACUGCAAUCUAUGACAUAAAAACAAGUAAAGAUGGGGGAGAAAUUUCGUCACUUGUGGCAGCUGGCAUUGAUUGCUUUGACAUGAUUAUUGACUUUGUUUCAGGUAUUAAGAACAGCUACUGAGGGCACAUACUAUGGCUAUUUUGAAAAAUAAUUUUUUCAUUUCAUUGUUUAAUUAAUGUUUGCAAACUACAUUCCUUCAAAAUCCUUUUUAGUCAUUAUUUAAGUAAAAUAUUAGUGCUAUAUUUUGAUUCACUUCAACAAAUUUGCAAUAAUUUAAAAUGACAUUUUUUUAGUUAUAUUAUAACUUUUGUUCAAGAAAAAUUCUGCACUGUGCACACUUUGGGUUAUGAAAGUCAUCUGUCAAUAGCAUGUUAAAUAAUGAUGAUUUUGAUCACAUGCUGAUGGAGAUGUAGAAUUAUGCGUGUAAAUUUUAGCUUGCUGAUGACAGAGUGUAGUGAAUUUAUACAAACAACUAAGAUAGCCAAAACCUCACUAGAUGUGUUGGCUUCAGAAACCACAUGAUGUCUUAAUGUCUUAUCAUAAAUCAAACUUAUGAUAUAAUCUUCCAGUACAUGUUAUUACAAACACACAAAGGAAUAUUAUAUAUCAGACUGUUUCUGUUCUCUAAAAUAAAGCUGUCAGGACUCAGUUCCUUCACUUAUUCACUUGUUUUGUUAAUUUACCCUAAAUGCUCACUCAUAUGCUAUCUAUAACUACUUUUUGGGAGUCCUAACAUUGCCUGCAGCGUUCAUAUUACGAUUAUCACAUUCCCUGUUUAUAAAUUAUAAUCCUUAAUUGAAAUACUUGGAUUAUGAGAUGGACAUUGAUUACAUUUUAUUGAUUGAUACUGUUCUGUCAAUAUAUUGCAUGUUUGAUCAGUACCAAAUAUGGACAGGGAAAAUGCAUAUCUAAUUUUGUUAUUCUGUGACAUUUUCCCCUCUUUUUAAGGUCGGAAAAGCUUGAAGCUGAUCAAAAGACACUGUCAAAGCUUAGUAUCUUCUGUUUUCAGCAUUAUUGCGCAUUUACAGAGCCCACGUAUAUUUUAUGUUAACUUGAGAUGUAGAACAGUUGAUGGUACUCCUGAUCCUGGGUCAGCCAUUCUCAUGUGUGUUGAAGUGCUAGCUACAAUCUCAAGGAAACUUGGUCUAUUCUCAAUGGAUGUGUGGCAUGUAGGUCACAUGCUACAUAUCCCUGCAGCACUCUUUCAGAAUUUUCAUCAGCAUAGAAUUUCUAAAGCUUCUCGUUCAUCAUAUACAUUGAUGAUAUCAGAAGAGCAAAUAUCUCAUCCAGCAGAGGGAGUGAAUUUAUGUCAUGUAGAUCACCAGUUCACAAUUAACCUAUUUGUUGCAUGUUGUCAACUAUUGUGUACCAUUAUAAGGCAUCGUCCAAGGUAUGUUUGGUUUUUGUACCUUUUGAUUCACUGUGAUCAAAGUACCACUUCACACAUUUAAUGGAUAGAGAUAGCAAAUAUAUGAUGGUAUUAUUUAUUUGAUGCACUUAAUAUCUUUGUGCAAUCUUCUGCCUUUUUAUUGUACCAACAUUUUUUUGUUGUUGAGGAAAUUCCCAACCUACGUCUAAAUGUUACUAUGCAUGACAGUUCUGCUUGUUUUAUAAUCAUUCCAGUGAGUGCAAGCAGUGUGUUGCUCAUCUAGAAGCUUCUGUUACUGUUCUUCUUAAUUGCUUGGAGACAGUUUUAGAGAACAACUCAAUGGUGAGUGAAGGUUGCUUUUCAUGGGAAGUAGAAGAGGGAGUGAAAUGUGCUUGUUUUCUACGAAGAAUUUAUGAAGAGGUUAGUGUCAUCCAUAUUAGUGUGCCUACCUUCUGAACAUGAAUACAUUAUUAACAUCUUUUGCAUUGCAUAUUAGUAAUUUUUCUAUUCUCAAAUACUCUCUGUCCUGCCUUUUCAAAGCCAAAGUUUAUUUUAUGUGCAAAUUGCUUUUACACUCUUGCUUUCUGUUAAUGUAAAUUUUGACAAAGGAUAGAGGUAAGUGAGAUAUCAAGUGGGUCAAAUUUCAAACACCCCGUGUGAUACUUUGUAUACAUCAAUAUACCUUUUCCUAUUUUCAUACUGAGAGACUCAGACAGACUCUGACCAGCACUAAAGGACAAACUUAAAAAACAGACAAUCUUACUCAAUUGCUUCUCCUUUGAUUCAGAGUGAUCUGAGAGAGACUAGUUAGAUCCUGCCAUUGUACUUGCAAUUCAGCUUCUUGUUGAUGAUUGUAUCAAAAAUCCAAAAUGCCCUCAGGCUGCUUUUGAAAUUCCCAGCCCUCAGUCAAAGUUUCUGAUAAGUGGUCAUGGACAUAGGGACUUGGAGCUGCCUGUUUCAGCUUGCUGACAUGAAACAUCAUCUAGAUGUUACUGGUUGCAAGCAGUUGUAUUUCCCUAGCCUGUAUUCUUCUUAACGUAUAUGGCAUAUCACUUAACCAGCUAGUAUUUGUUUUCCAUAGUUUGAUAGUAUCUUAAAAUUUUGGGAUUUUUUCUUUUCUAAAUAGAUGGUGUGUUUACCUUCUUGAUUUACCAAAUCAAGAAAAAGCUUAAGUCCAGCCUUUAUUUAACAAAUCAUUUAUUUGUUUCUUUCUUAUAUUUGAUAGCUUAUUAUUUUUUUGUUCCUUUUGCUUACCCGGUUUGUUUCUAUGAUCAUCAUGCAGAUAAAACAGCAGAAAGAUAUAUUUGGUCGUCAAUGUUGUCUGUUUUUAUCCAACUAUAUAUCGGUUUAUUCAGGAUAUGGUCCCAGCAGAAGUGGUAUUAGAAGGUUGUAUAUUAGUUUUGUUGUCUACUCAUUUCUUUUUUCUGUCAAAGGUUACCAGUUGCAGGAUUACACUUUUCGACCACACAGAUACCCCUUUUCUAUUCCUGACUUUCAUUAACCUGUCAUCUCAGAGUUUCUUAAAAUUCCAAUAGUCUAUUAAAUUUUCCGUUACCCAUAUUUUGAAAUGAUAACAAUGAAAAAGUAUCAAUAGAGAUGAAUUUGGUAGGCUGAGUGGCUAGAAUCUUUUUAAAAGUGUAGCCAAAUAACCAUUAGUAAAUACUAAUUAUUCACAUUGUUAUUUGCAGAGAAAUAGAUGAAGCUUUAAGACCAGGUGUCUAUGCUUUGAUAGAUGCUUGCUCAGUUGAUGAUCUUCAAUAUCUUCAUACUGUUUUUGGAGGUAAGCAAUCUUGACUAGAUGAAAUUCUAGGAAAGCAAUUAAGGAAUAAUCUAAUUUCAAAAUUUUCCCUUCAUUUUGUAGAGGGACCUUGCAGAAAUACCUUGGCAACUCUUCAACAUGAUUACAAACUCAAUUUUAAAUAUGAAGGAAAAGUGUGACCUUGAAAUUCUGUUGAAGGUAAAUUUUUGUGCCUCAUUUUAUUCCCACAGAACGCUUUCCACAGAUAUUGAUAACUUAAUGAAUGUUUCAACUAAUAUUCAUGGAAAGCUAUCGUUGUUCUAGUGAGGAACUUAGUAUAUGCCAAUUUUGUACGUUGUGGCAUUGAAAUCACGAGGUUCAGCUGUAAUUAGUUCGAUACUAUCAUAGAUAAUUACUUAGCUGGUUCUUGUAUUUAUUUUUCAAUUGUAGUUUGAAGAUAACUUAAACUAAGUUGCCUAAACCUUUUUGUUGACUAAUUUAGAGUUUUGUGACAAAAUGGUGCUUGUACGAUCAAUUCAGUGGCAACAUAAGCAAUUCAAAUGUGCAGAAAUCGGUUUACUUUGGCUGGAGUCUAUGUUAUUUGGUGCCAUGUUUAAUUGUAGGCAAUGAGCUAUAUCAACAGCUGAUUUCUUGUAGGCCAUAUACUUCCAAAUAGGAUUAACAUUUAAUAUCCAAACUUAUUUUAAUUCCAACUGUUUUAUGGAUGGGAUUGAGCCUCAGUAUUAUAAUUAUUUUCUUGUUUUUCCUAUAUAAUUAUAGUGAUAUAAUUAGACUUCCGCAUUCGGUGAAAGCCAAUUCCACGAGUCACAUGAUAAAUAAUGAAUGAAUUGACCCUCGGGUUAAUUAUAAAUUUAUAAUUGCACACUUUAUUCCAAAUGCCUGCUCAAUAAUGAUGACGUAGUGUAAGAUUUGUUAGAGAAAAUUGGAAUUCCAUAAUAUUAUUAAGCUCCAAUUUGGAGCCUCCAAACGCUGCCUUAAGGCAAAUCUUCUAUAUACAAGUGCUACAAUCGACCCCACAAUUGAUAAUAAUAUCGUCUAUCUUACGUAAUGGGAUAGCCUAACUAAAAAGCAAAUGUUAAAUGAUUCCAUAAAAAAAGAUAAUAUUAAAUGAGCAACUACCAAAAAGUUGUGCGGAGGACAAUAAUAGUAUGCAUAAUCAAUAAUGUUUAUUCAUGUUGGAGUAUUCCCCAUUGUUUUUAUAAAAUUCCAUGUAGAUGUGGUUAGAAUCUCUUCUAUAAACACUUUCUUCACAUUUUCUCAGUCCUUCUUAUCACAUGAUGGGUUACUACUAUUGUAAACCCAGGGCUUAUGAUGCUCAUACUCCAAAUGUUGUUCUGAUAUUGGCUGUGGCCUUGAUUCUUCUGGUUAUACCAAAGCUCUUCUCAAGUGAACCAGAGGAAGAAUAUGAAGUAGAGAGUGGUUCCUCACCUUUUGUAGUACCGAUAAUCGUAAUACUGAUCGUGCUUUUGGUGUCAUGGUUGGGAGGCACAAGAAAAAGGGUUUAUGCCAAACCGCCAUAUUGUCGCUGCACACAUGCCUGCUACUGUUACUGGUAAGAGCUUGGUGGUGGAUGAGGAGAAUGAUUGGUAUUAUGUUCUGUGUCACCCCAUUUAUGAUUUAUUUCAUGCUACAAUUAAUAAGAUAUUGCAUUGGAAUAUAGGAUGAGUUUGUAAUUUAUGAGUUUGAUGAUAAUAUAAAAAGAGAGAGUAAUUAUAAUUUUAUUAUUUAUUAGUGUAUUCUUUUGAGUCAGGUUACAUUAUGAUAUAAAGUUUAAGCAUCUUAUAUUUUAUAGGAUUUAAUUUAUAUACAUUGUAUAAAAAGUUUUUAUAUUGAUAGUAAAUCACAAUCAUUCGAUAUUCAAAAAUAUUCGACUUGUAUGAUUACCAUUUUUAAAGUAAUGAAUAUGAGUGAUUUGUGUCAGUAGAAAAUAUUUUGUAUGUUAAUACAUGCAAAUUAAACUUUAUUUUAUAUGGUUGUGUUUCCUUGUUUUGCUUGCUUUAGCAUUUCUGAAAUGAGUCAAAUGAAGACUCGGUAUAGUUUCAAUGUAAAAUAAAACGAAAUCAAGGACAAGGACUUGGCAGUUUUUUUUUUUUAUAUAUGGAGCAAUCUUGAGUUAAACGGUUUGUUGAAGCUAUGACUUUUGGUGUUACCACACAGAUUUUUCUGAAAGAAAAAAAGAAGAAAAGAUGGUGUAUUAAGUAUAAGUAGGUAAUAGAUCGAUCUUUUUUUUAUCAUUGUCUUACCAUGUGAGUCGUAUCUGGUUUUGAUACCUCAUUGAAUCCAAUUAAUAUCUAGUGUCUAUCUAUUUGGACAUAAAUCUCUUUUUGAAUCUUAAUUUGUUGUGGUGAAAUCUACUUCACUAUAAUGAAACCUAAUUCACAGUGAUGAAUUAAUACUAAAAAUAAAUAAAUAACAAUUUAAUCAAAAUAUAGAUGAAACAUAUCAAUUAAUCAAAAUAUAUUUUAUUUAAAAUUUAGAUUAAAUAUAUUAAUUUUUUAAUUAUUUUUGUUUAUAUUUUGAGAUAAAAUAGUAUAAUUUAAAUCUUAUUAACGUUUAUCAGUUGUGUUCCUUAUUUUUUUUACUUAAAAAUGACAUAUUUUUAGUGUAUAUUAGAAUUUAUAAUAAAAUUUUAUACAUGAUGGAUGAUCAUGGCUGAAUGAAUAAUCAGCACCCAACCCAACAACUUAAAGAGGGUCAUUUGUCCAACAUUAUCACCAUUAUUGAAUUUUGUACGAUAGCUAUCUGAUUCAAUAAAAUGAGUGCAUGUCGACAUUUAAAUGGACUAUACUAUAGAUGUGGCGAAGGUUAAAAUCUAGCAGCAGUGGUGAGAAUGCAUUCGGAGAAGUCGGUUGAAUAAGACAACCAUAUUGCGUUACAGAUGCAAAUAGUGUUGUUUUGUAGGUUAAUCACUUUUUUAUUUUUAUUUUAAAGUAGUAGGUGUAAUAAUCAAUCAAUUGAGUAGGAAGUGGGAAAACGUCACAUCAAGGAAACUAUGCUUUAAAAACUGUGCUUUAUAAUUUUUACUUCGAAAAUGCUUUUACAAUUUUUACUUAAAAACAAAACACUCCAAAUUUUCAAACAUUCACUUAAAACAUCAAUUUCUCUGUAAAAAAAACUUUUUUUUUUUUUAUGGUAUUACUAAUAUAUCAUAUCAGUUUAUUUCUCUCUUUAUUUUUUUCUAUUAAGAUAUAUAUUAAGUGUAUAGAUAUAUUAAAGAUUUUACUAAAAACAAUGCUAUAUUAAAGAUUUUGAAAUAUUCAGUUAGUAAAUUCUACAUCAAUUUCAUUAUAAAUUUGUAAUAAAGUCGAUAGUUCUCUCAAACUUUAUAAAAGCAAAAUAAAACUUCACUGUGAUAUGCUUGAUAGAUAUGUAACUUGUGUACUGUAGAUGCAAUUAUUGGUAGAAAGAAACAUGUUCACACAAUUGGUGUUUAUAUGUGAUAAGUGAAAUGUGUCUUCCUUUAAUUGCUGAGGACACAUUCAUAAUGGACACUCAUAUUCUAACCUAUGUCAUAAUCAACAAUUAAUUAUAACUUUGAAAAAAUAAACGAUAUUAUUUCACUAUAUUAUGUCCUACAAAUACAAUACCAUUCACCUCUUUUAAGGAAUAAAAUCUGGUCACUUUUUUUUUUUUGCAUUUUCUACUUGCCAACACAACACUACCCCUAAUUCUUUGACUUUACCAUAUAUAUCACUAAGUUCCAUAGAUCAAAAGGGUUCUUUCAAGUUUCCAACUUUUGAAUUCUAACACUCAAAAAACCAUAAAACUCAAUGGCUGAUGACAACAACAGAGGCUCCUCUGCUUUGGAUGGUUUCACUCUGAAUCCUCUGCCUUAUCCUGUUCUGUUAAUCUUAGCAGUGAUCUUCAUCUUCCUUGGUACUUCAUGGUACUUUUCUUAUGAAGAAGUUGUUGAAACUGCUCAAGAACAAUUGGGUUGGGUUUUAUUUGUUGUACCAAUCGUGCUUAUACUUAUAGUUCGUUUGGUUUCAUCAAUGGAAGAUUCAGGUUGGUUUUCUGGUGGUUCUGGUUGGGAAAGGCGCAGGACAACACAAGAAAGCACCUCUGGAGGGAGUUCUCCUUGGGGUGUGGCUGCUUUGAUUGUUGUUUUGUUGAUAUUGGUGCAGUUUCAAUCUGUGUUUCUUGAUAGUUGGUUUUAUUGAUUUGGUUUUUGUGUUUUUAUUUCUAUAGGUUGGUUUGGUUUUAGCUGGUUUUGUUUUUAGUUUCAACUAACUAUAUGAACCUAAGUAUUUAGAUGAAGAAAGGAAGGUGUUGUAUAUUUCCUUCUAAAUGAUAGCAAAGUAAAGAUGCAACUGAUAUUUUCGUAACUUUUUAUUAGUAAAGAGGUUUUCUAUUUGCAUAAGUUAUCUCAUGUUUUUCGGUAACUAUGGUAUAUUGGUAUAAGUACACUUUUUAAUUUCUCUGUAAAAAAAACUUUUUUUUUUUUUUAUGGUAUUACUAAUAUAUCAUAUCAGUUUAUUUCUCUCUUUAUUUUUUUCUAUUAAGAUAUAUAUUAAGUGUAUAGAUAUAUUAAAGAUUUUACUAAAAACAAUGCUAUAUUAAAGAUUUUGAAAUAUUCAGUUAGUAAAUUCUACAUCAAUUUCAUUAUAAAUUUGUAAUAAAGUCGAUAGUUCUCUCAAACUUUAUAAAAGCAAAAUAAAACUUCACUGUGAUAUGCUUGAUAGAUAUGUAACUUGUGUACUGUAGAUGCAAUUAUUGGUAGAAAGAAACAUGUUCACACAAUUGGUGUUUAUAUGUGAUAAGUGAAAUGUGUCUUCCUUUAAUUGCUGAGGACACAUUCAUAAUGGACACUCAUAUUCUAACCUAUGUCAUAAUCAACAAUUAAUUAUAACUUUGAAAAAAUAAACGAUAUUAUUUCACUAUAUUAUGUCCUACAAAUACAAUACCAUUCACCUCUUUUAAGGAAUAAAAUCUGGUCACUUUUUUUUUUUUGCAUUUUCUACUUGCCAACACAACACUACCCCUAAUUCUUUGACUUUACCAUAUAUAUCACUAAGUUCCAUAGAUCAAAAGGGUUCUUUCAAGUUUCCAACUUUUGAAUUCUAACACUCAAAAAACCAUAAAACUCAAUGGCUGAUGACAACAACAGAGGCUCCUCUGCUUUGGAUGGUUUCACUCUGAAUCCUCUGCCUUAUCCUGUUCUGUUAAUCUUAGCAGUGAUCUUCAUCUUCCUUGGUACUUCAUGGUACUUUUCUUAUGAAGAAGUUGUUGAAACUGCUCAAGAACAAUUGGGUUGGGUUUUAUUUGUUGUACCAAUCGUGCUUAUACUUAUAGUUCGUUUGGUUUCAUCAAUGGAAGAUUCAGGUUGGUUUUCUGGUGGUUCUGGUUGGGAAAGGCGCAGGACAACACAAGAAAGCACCUCUGGAGGGAGUUCUCCUUGGGGUGUGGCUGCUUUGAUUGUUGUUUUGUUGAUAUUGGUGCAGUUUCAAUCUGUGUUUCUUGAUAGUUGGUUUUAUUGAUUUGGUUUUUGUGUUUUUAUUUCUAUAGGUUGGUUUGGUUUUAGCUGGUUUUGUUUUUAGUUUCAACUAACUAUAUGAACCUAAGUAUUUAGAUGAAGAAAGGAAGGUGUUGUAUAUUUCCUUCUAAAUGAUAGCAAAGUAAAGAUGCAACUGAUAUUUUCGUAACUUUUUAUUAGUAAAGAGGUUUUCUAUUUGCAUAAGUUAUCUCAUGUUUUUCGGUAACUAUGGUAUAUUGGUAUAAGUACACUUUUUUUUAAUGAUGAUUAAAAUUCGAAAUAUUUAUUAGACACAUAAAAGUGAUGUCAUGACGAAACAAAUCAACCAUUUCUUACUUGCUAUAAGAAACUAUAUAUGGAUUUAAUUAUAAGAAACUCUCAAAUCACAGGUGUUUUAUUAUUCUUAGAAACUCUCGAAUCAAAUUAAAAUAACAAGUGUAAAUUUUAUUAUAUAUGCGUCCAUUAUUCUGGACAAAUCAUCAAAAAAUGUAAUAUAAUGUAUUUUUCAGUAAACUUUCAGAUAGUGACAUACAAAAAAAAGAGAGAAAGACAUGCUUUAUCUUUAAAUAAAUUUGUAUUAACAUUAGUCAUUUUCAUAUAUGAAGUUCAACUUGACAUUUAAAUAACCUUACAACGAUUACAAGCAACGCAUGAUGAAUUACAAUUAUAAUUAUAGUAAUUCAUUUGAAACCACAUGCUUUAGUUCACGAGGGAAAAUAAGAAAGCCAUAGCAGUAGCAGUAGCCGCAUCAGCAAGAUGGCAAAGAUAGAGGGAGACAGUGAGACACCAUAGCUAGUUGUCGCAACUCGUGCUUCGAAUGUGUGAAGCGAAAGUUGAACCAUCCACAAGUAGAGUAUGAAACAAAGAAGAGAAUCAACAAAAGUACUAAGUGAAAGUAGAUUGGGUAUGUUAUGUUGCUAAGCUUUGUAGCCAGUGUAAUGGGAGAGCCAUAACAAGCUAAUAACAAUGCCAAAUACCACAAACAAAUGAAGAGUUGGGGAAGGAGAAACAGUUUCCAUGUUCUGCUCCAUGUAUCCAUGCUUCCAUUCUGCAUUCCUCUUCUUGGAGAAUAACCACCCCAUGUUUUCUCAGUCAGUGACACAUGAAGAAACAGACACUAGAACUAGGUUGUUCUCUAAGGUUUAUAUAAGAGCUUCUUUUGCUUCUGAUACAAGGAUGGCUUUGAGUUUUGGCAUAUAUUCUUUGAGUGUAACUUAUGUCCUAUAAACAUAUUUUGCUGUGUACAACCUGCAAGAGUCGGGUACUGGUGUUUCUUUUCUCUUUUUUUUGGACGAGUACAAUAGAAUUUUCUUGAUUGAGAUGAAUGAGAACAAAAACUAUUAACAUUGGCCUUAUUCAACACACUUUAAAUUCAAGUAACUUGAAAACAAAUUUUAAAUUUAAUAUUUGGUGACCAUAAUGUUUGGAAUUGUACUAUAAUUUUUUCAAUUUGUUUGAGUACUCUAUUUUAAAUAGACCAAAAUACCAAAUUUAAAUUGGGCCAUAUUAUAUUUGAUAGGUGCACUUUUUCUUAUUGUCUUCCCUUCUUUUAUCAUAUUUUAGGUCUGGCUGAUGUUCUUAUUCCUGGCCAACAAAUAGAACAUAACAAUAUGUUAGAUUGAUCAGCAAGAUUUUCAAAUGACCGAUACAAAUGUCGAUAAUAUUCAUAUGUACCAAGAAUCAUAACCCACUAAAUUGAUUUAACAUUGCACAAAACCCUCACACAAGACUGGAAUUUUAGAACAAUUUUAAAAUGUUACAUGAAAAUAGUGUUUCUGAAGUGCUGGUAUUGUUAGUUCUGUAGUAAACACGAAUGCAUUAUAAUACUUUUUUGAUGAUCCAACCGUAUAUUUUGUUGUUGAUAACUAGUUAAAUAAGAUACAAUAAGUUGAAAUUAUUUGCAUCAGCAAGACCAGACUUAUGUUUUUCAUGUUAAUAAUUACACGUUGUUCGCAAGUUUUUUUUAUUAUGUUACAUUAUUUCCCUCGUACACACUUUAAUGUAAACUUCUUUUGCAGUUUUAACUAAUAAAUAGCACUUUGUCUAGAGUAGAUGGAUUUGGAUUUCUGUUGCAAAUUUCAUUUAAGCUUGACUCAAAAGAACUCCGUAGUUACUGAGUUUACUGAGCCCAACAUUCGAAAUUUUCAACUACAACCCAAACAUACACUAGAUAAAAUAAGUGUGGUUGUUUAGGAUAGUUUGUGAUUAAGGGAUUAACAAACCUACAUGUUAGCCUUACUGGUUUCAGCUUGGAGAUUUUCCAUCUUCAAUUUCAAUUUUUCACAAGAAAUAGGAAUAUAAACAAUUGAACCUGCAAAGCUUUUCCUCACAAGGAAAAGUUUAUGAUCAAAUUAUACAGUACUCAGAAUAAACUACUAGUCAGGAUGAGAGAACAGAAGCAACUUUCUUUUCAGGAUAAGCAUAGAAGUGACGUAUACCUCCAGAUUAGUUGCAGCAGAAGCACAAUGAAAACACUCAUAGUAGCUUCAAAAGGCACAAACACUUGCCUAAAAUUAUGUUCUCUCAUUCACUAGCCUUUCUGCUCCCAACUACACUACUUGAUGAGCUAUCCUGAACGCUGUACGAUGAAGAACACUUGCCUAACGAACUACCUUCUGUGAAACUGCUUUCCUUUCUCGAUGACUUGCUCGAUUUCUUUUGUGCGGACGAUAAAUCCUGCAAAAUCCGACAACAAACACGACUUUAAUCCACAACAAAAUACCUUUUCUACUACAGCUCUAGGUUACAAGAUCUAUCGUGAAAAUAGCACUAACCUGGUCUGCAGAAGACCCGGGAGUCUUCAACUCAAGGUCCGUGGCUACAUCAUUAGAUUCCUCAUUUCUUUCAGCCCUGCUCUCCCUGGAUGAUUUGUUUUUAGAAUCUUGUUUUCCUGAUACAUGGGACCGGCUACCUGGAUGAAGAGGUGGGGAUACGUAUUGGGUGGAUUGCUGUUCAACGAUUGUAUUAGGGGCUAAAAAUGGAACGUAUGUUGAACAGGGGUUAGGGAUGACUGCAGGAUGUUGAUUAGCGUAGAAGGGGUACGGCUGCAUGGGAAUUGGUCCAGGAGGUACCGGCAUUGGAACUGGAUACGGAUAUGACGGUGGAGCCAUCAUAACUGAAUGAUCCAUUGCAGUCCAUGGAAACAUAGUUCUGAGUUGCAGCUGAUACUGGUUAUUCAAAUUCUCGAUAUCUGAUUUAAGAGAAGCCUUUUCUUCUCUGAGAUCAUUUUUCUCCUGAGUCAACUGAAAAUUAAAUUAAAUCAUUUCCUCUGUAACUUUAUGUCCAAAAGCAUCAAGGUGAUUCGUCGAACCAAGAGAAAAUAUUACCUCUCGAGAUUCUUCAUUUAGCAUAGUGUGCUCAUCUUUUAGUUUACUAACUUGAGAAGUAAGGUCCUUCAGCAAUUGAACUGUAUCACCUAGAAUGGUUGCUUUAUCAUUUUUGGGCCUAUCAGGGUCUGCAAUUCAGAGUCAACACAGGCACAGAGUGAUGUAAGAGGAAUUAUGUUUUAUCAGUUGUAAGAAUCAAAUGCCUAACACAUGGAUGAAUUCUACAGAAGCAACAAGCAACAAUUUGUUUGGUAAAAUUUAUCAGCAUUUAUAACCUUAAGUAACCUUUGCGACAUGUAGUUGAAAAUAAUCAGAACUUUAACGAGAUUGCUUCAAAAUUUGAAGUUGUUGACAUUAUACAAGUAUGAAAAUCCUAAUUAAACUUUCAUUCAACUGACGACUGCAGCAUUAAUGUACUUUAUGGAUGAACCAGGACUCGAGGAAAGGUAAACUAAAAACAACUACAUUCAAAGUAUUAGAUAAAUCACACAAAGCAUUUGCCACUGAGAUAUAACAAUAUGAUUUUGCUGUAAUGUAUAAAUCCAAAAUAAAUACAUAUGAUUCACAAUCAGGAUAGUAAAUCAAUAGAAAGCAAAAAAGAUUAAGCAUUAAACAACUUAUUUGCUCCCGCUAGAGCAUAGUGCUGGAGGGGGAAGGGAGGGACAAAGAAGCAAAAUGAUUAAAGAGAAGAAAAGGGAGAGAAUUUAGAAGUGUCGACAAUAAAAUAACAGAUAUCAAACCAACACCAGCAUUUGUUUAACAACAAAUUGCAUUUUAGUAAUAGAUUAUCUAACAAAGGAGAGUCUUGAAGUUACAUAUCAUUAGAAAGUAAGUAAUAACAAUGGAAUAUAUCAAGAACCAGUGACGUUUUUGGCAGUCAACUCACUAUUCACUAUUUUCAUAAAUUUGGAAGUGAAGUCUCAUUUACCUAAAAUGUUACCCAGUUCUACAAACUGUUCAUUUAGACGAUCCCUCCUUAACUUUUCUCGAUCAGCCUUCUGUGUCUUUCGAGCAGCUGUACAAUCCAUUGGUUCAACUUCAGGCCUUUGGCAGUAGACACAUAAGUUCCAAAAAAGUAAAUCAAUUAAAUUGAUUAUUUCAGCCUUGGUGAACCAAAAUCAUCAAAAUAAAGUAUUUUACUUCGAAUCUCCAAGCAACAUCUGUCACCUCAAAAGCCACAACUUGAAAAUUUGUUCCUACACAUUUUUUUAGAUGAAGAUUCUUAAUUUCAUAGAAUAAUAACCUAACUUCUGAGCAAUCAAAUCGGGUGUAUGCGAUGCUUCGUAACUACAUAAGGGGGAAAUAAGGUCAUAUGAAAAUGUCAAUUACAGCUUAAAAUCAUUAAAAUUUUGUAAUUAUAAAAUUAACAAUUGACAAUGACAAACUCCCUUAAAAUUCUCCUUAAUCAUUAGUAAACUAAUACAACUCUCAACAUGACUCAAACCAUUGAUCAUUAAACUUAACUUACCAUUAAACCACAUUCAUUCAUGAAAUACUUGCAAAGCUUCUAAAUUUCUCACAAUGCAAAAUCAAUUAACUAGAUAAAACCAAUUUAGGAUUAAACACAUUAGCAAUUCAUUUAAAAAAAACAAUGUUGAUACAGUUACAGUGACAUAUAAAACAAAGUAAUUUAGGGGCUUCAACUCUCAAGGUUAUAUGAAGAUAAAGUUCAAUUUUUUAAAAAGGGGAUAACCAAACUAAAUAGGAGUUAAGAUCAAACUAAAGGAAAAGGUAAUAACAUAGAAGAAGGAACGAAACCCAUGUGAAUUAAACGAUAAAGAUGAAAAUUUUGAAGGAGAAAACGCGUUAAGACAAAAAAAAAAAUUGUAACAAGAAUUGAGUUGAUAACGAGGUUAAGGAAAGUGCAAUUGUAGAAGAAAAGGGUUGGUGAAAAAUUUACCUGGUUAUGUUCUUAUCAUCUAUGGUUGAUGAUUAUAUCUUCAAUUUAUUCUCUUGUGUUCUAAAUCUUAAUUCUAAAUUCAAAUUAUAAUUAUUUGAGCAAAGAAAUGUAAAAGUGAAACGAUGGUUGGAAACGUGGUCGUUUUGGAUGAAAUAAAACGACGGAAUUGUGUGUCGUACUGUUGUUGUCUCUUGAUUCCCAAUGACGAAAGAUUGAAUUGGAAUUGGAAGGUCAUUGCCAUUUCUAAUAUUCUAUUCCAUUUGGAUAACCAUGAGUCAAGACCCUUUUCUUCUCUAGAAGAAAUCAAAAUAACUUUUAAUACUUUACAAAAAUAAAUUAGGAUAAUUAGGUUUUCAUUAACUACUAUGUAAAAAAAAUGAUAAUUUAGGAUUUGUUUUAAUGAGUUUUGGUUUUUAGUUAAUCAAUUUUAAGAAGUUGUUUUUAAGAGAAAAAUAAAUAAAAAUUCGUUUGGUAAUAUUAUUUAUGAAAACUCUUCUAGAGAUAUGAAAAUGGAAAAAAUUAUUGGAUAAAUUUAUUUUUAUAAUAUGUUUUGAAAAUUAAAAAUUUGUUUUGAUAUAUGUUUCACUUUUUUAUAAUUAUUUUAUUUUGUGUUUCUUUUCUUUUAUACUGAAUAUAAUUAAAAAAAUUAGAGUGUUGUUUGAAUUUGAAAAUUGAUUCCAAUUGAAGCUUUGGUGUAUGUUUGGUAUUAAAAUAAUUUUGAAUAAAUUAAUUUUAUAACAUUGAUUUUAAUUAAGGUUAUUUUAAUAUAAAAUAAUUUAUAUGUAAAAUAUAUUUAAGUAAAGUAAUUAAACAAUAAAUUUUAAAAGGAAUAUGUUUAGCCGAUGUUGUAAUACAAUUUUUGUAUUUGUUUCUCCUUAACCAUUAAAAUUACGGAUGAUAGCCGUUUUACAAUUAAAACUAGUUAUAAUUAGGGAUGGCAAAAAAAUCCACGCUCGCGGAUACCCAUCCAAAUCCGUUUGAUUUGGGCGGGGAAAAUCCGUUUUGAUUGGGUGCGGGUGCGGAUUUUCCCCAAAAUUAAAUUUCGGGUGCGGGGACGGGUACGGGGGUGAUGAUAUCCACCCCGCACCCAAACCCGUCCCGCAAGUAUUAUUAGGGUAAAUUUUGAAUUUUCUAUACAUAUACAUAUCAAAUAUAUUUAAUAUUUUUUUAAAUAUUAAAAAUUAUAAUCUUAUCUCUAUAUAAAACAAUUUUUUAUUUUAUUAUUAUCUGAUAAUAAUUAUUUUAUUAUAUUAAUUAUAAUACAUAUAAUUUUUUAAAUUUAUAAUUUUAUAUAUAUAAAUGGGUGUGGACAGGGAAACCCGAAACCCGUUGUGGACGGAGAUGAAGGUUUAAUUUUCACACCCGCUAUGAAACGAGUGUGGGUGUGGGUUUUCCCCGAUUAAUCGAGUGCAAGGAUGGAGGAGGCAAAAUCCGCCCCGACCCGCCCCGUUGCCAUGCCGAGUUAUAAUCUAAGGCCAAAGAAGGUUGGGCCGAUAUUUGUGAACAAAGGGAGUUUGGACAUUAGGUCAAUCUCAAACAUUAAUUUAAUUGAAUUUAUAAAUAUUAUAAAUUUUAAUAUUUAUUUAUUAUUUUAAUAGAAGUUAAUGAUUAUAUAUUGACAUUCAAUCUCAAAUCAUUGAUUAGAUUAUUUAUUUAUUACGAUAUUUAACGAGAUGAUAAAAUCAAUUACUAUUAUAAAAUUAGUUUUUAAUCAAAUAUUGUAUAAAAUUAUUAUUUUUUUAUUUUAAUAAUAUCUAUUUGUUUAAUUUGUUAUAAUUCUAUUAAUAUUUUGUAUGUUUUAAACAUAAUUGAUAACAUUAUCACCUAACAUUAAUAUUUAGUAUAUUAUAAUAUAUGUAUAUAUAUAUAUAUAUAUAUAUAUAUAUAUAUAUAAUUAGUUAUUUUAACAUAAUUUUAUAAUAUUUGUAUUAAAAUGAUUUUUUAUAAAUGAUAAUUCAGUUCAACACAAAAUUAUUCAAUUUAAAAUUGUGAUAACUUAGAUUCUCAAUCGUAUCUAAUUUUUUCAGAGUUGUUGUCUAACCCAAAUUCAACAUAAUCAAUCUAAAUUGUACCUCAAACAUGUCUAGAUAUACCAAUUAAAUCCUAUUUACAAUUUCUUUUUAAAAAUAUCUAUCCUUUAAACUUUGUAAUGUUGCACUAGUUCACUAUUUAAAAACAUGGUAGAAGAGAAAUAGAAGAUAUUGAGUUUGCCUUUAGCUGAUAGAAAACGUAAUGGAUUUUUCUAUUUCUAAUUCAUAAGUCAUCAUUAUUAUGCUUUUGCCAUUAAUGAAAACACAUGUUUUAUGUGUUUUUAUUCUUCUGAAAACAACUGAAAAUUAAAAAUCAAAACCUCUUUAACCUAUUUUAGUUUUUCGGCCGCCAUAAUUAAUAAAUAGAAAAUAGUUUUGUAAAACUAAAUUACCAAACAAGUUUUAAAUUUUUCAAAUUUUUAAAAACUAAAAAAUAGUAUUUGAAAAGAAAAUCAAUAAAGUCCUAAAUCUCUUUUAUUAAAGGUGGUUAAAAGAUAUUUAUGGUUAAAUAAAAUUUGUUAGAUUUUAUAUUAAAAAUUUAUAUAAAAGUGUAUCAUAUUUUAAUUGUAUAAUAAUUAUUCACAUAAAUAUUUUAUUUUUAAAAAAAAAUUCAACAAUGAUUCUCAACUGUCUUUAUUCCUAUUUAAAAAUAAAUUAUUUGAUUAUACGAAAGAAAUUGAUUCUAAAUAACUUGUUUUUAAACGAAUUAUUCAUUCUUUAUUCUUUUUAUUCGUAUAAAACAACCAUCAAAUGAUUAAAACCUAAUAUGUUUGGUUUCAUAACCCUGAGUGAAAUAGUGUAACAGUUCAAAAAAAAAUAAUUAUCAUCUACAAAAAUAUAUCUUUAUACUAUUAAUUAAAUAAGACAUAUUUUGUUUUAAAUUGACUCUUGGUACUAAUUCAGGAUAUAUUAUAUAUUUUUAAGAAAUUUGAAUAUUGAAUCGGAUAUCAUGGAUUUUUUUUUAUAUUAAAAUUAUCAAUUGUUGUCGAUAUUUAAUUGAACAAUUUGUUUUUAAAUGAAUGAUGGAAAGAUGUCGCUACCCGCACUAAAGUGCAAGCUAGUCCAUUUGAUUGCUACUGACAAACUCAACCAUAGAGUUUAUAAAGAAAAGAGACAUAAUGUGUUUACUUUAUUAUAACAUAUAAUGCUAAUAGUACCCAAAUUUGAUAACUACCCCUCUGUGCUAUGGAAAUAAUCCACUGCCUCAAUAUUAGUUCCUUUACUCCAAAGUUUCUUCACAUAAAAUAUGAAACCAUCGAUGAUCAUUAAUUUUUUCCUCCUAUCAGAAAUGUUUUGCAAAUAUCAAACUUGUUCUCAGGAAUGUGAUCAGGUUGAGAAUCUUAUAUUCCUAUAUUUGUUACAAAGUUACAAUAUAUAUUCUCAACUAUAAAAUAUUUAAAGGAAUAAAAUAAUUAUCCACUUUUCCAUGAACUUAUUUCCAAGGGACGAGGUGGAAAGAAAGAUUUUCAUAAAUCAAAAAUAAAAUUGAUAUAACCAUCUAUAAAAUCACUUCCUCCAAAAAUCACUUUUCCAUAAAGCAUACGACGUUGUAAAACUUUAUUGUAAUCUUACUAAGUGUUUGUGUAAUUUUUUUAUUGUAUACUCAAAAUAAAAUUUUAAGAUGAAGUGUUUAGUAUAAAGUACGCAGUUUAAUUAGUUUUAAAAUGUAAAUUGAUGUAAAAUAAAGUUUUUAAUUAAAAAUAAAUUUUAUUUCAAUUAAUAUUAAUUAUAUUUAAUAAUUAUUAAUAUUAAUUAUUUUAAAUUUAAAUUAUUUAUAAAUAAUUUAAAAUUAUAAUAAACUAUUUAUUAAUCUAAAACAUUUUUAUUUAUGUAGCUAGAUUAUUUAUUUUAAAAUAUUAAUUAUUCAAAUUAUUGAUUUAAUUUUUUGAUGAAUUAUUUAAAAUUAUUUACUAAUUUAUUUAUUUUAAAUUAUAAUAAGUAAAUUAUAUGGGGUAAAAAAUUAUUUACGUUACAAUAAUAAAAGUAAAAACUGAUAGAAAAAUAAUAAAUUAUAAGUUUAAAAGCUAGUUAAAGUAAUUUAUCAAUGACUUAUAGCUUAGCAGACAAAUCUUAUAAUUUACAAACUAUGGGCUAAUUUAUUUGCCUCGACAAACAUAACCAUAAUAUAUGAUAACAUAGUUCAAAGCAAAUCCAUUGUUUUGACUCACUUUUAAAAUCUUGUAUAUAAUAACUUGAUUCAAAUUAAAUAAAAAAAAUAUAGUGUGGAAUAACAUUAUAACAUGUAAUGUAUUAUUGGGUAAGAAUUGAACAAAUCGAGCAAGGUGGGAUUAUGGCCUAACAUGUGCAAGACCCGUGCCAAAUCAAUUUUUGUUCUUAAAUAGGGAAAAUUACAACUUUAUUAAUAGUUUAUUUGAGCAGAAAAAAGUCAAAUUACAUAACACAAAAUAGUCUUUUUGGCCUACUCAAUUACUCUAUUUUCUUGAGUAUCUUAUAGUUAUAAGGUAAGAUGAUUCAAUACUACCCAUCUAAUUUAAUUAAAAGUAAAUAUAAAAUGAGUAUUUAUGUUUUACAUUAAAUAGUAAUUUUUUUUUUUAAAAAAAAAAGUCAAACUACGUAAAACACAAUAAUAUUUUUUCAAAAUAUACUUAAAUCUUUUUUUUUUUUUAUCAGAUUAGAUUUAUAUGUUUCAAAGCCCACUUGGACCCAAGUUACUCUCACAUUGCACUCUUUAGUUUUGAUUAGAAAGAGACUAAGAAAAAACAAAACAAAACAUGGAAAUGAAUAAUUUUAGUAAAAAUAAUUAGUAAGAAUUUGUUUUUAGUAUCUUGUUAAACAAUGGUAUUUACAUAAGUACAUAUGAAAUGAGUAUUCAUUAUUUACAUUCAUAGUUUUCUAAAAAAUUAAAAUUAUAUGAUACAUUAAUCUGUUCAAUAAAUUUAAAUCUUGAAUUUUUUAAUGAGAUUAGACACAAAACUUAUUUAAAUCUGAGUUACUUUCACAUUGUACUAUUUAGUUAAUGAAAAAGAAACAAAACAAAAUUCGAAGACGACUAGUAUUAUUUGCUUAAUAAUAAUAAUAAUAAUAAUAAAAACUCUAAUAGGAAUUUGUUUUAUGAGUAGAAUAAAUGAGAAGAAAAAAAGAAAAAAAAAAGUGAGUGACGAAGUAAGUAACCACGUAAAAACGGCCAAUGAAAAGGGGCAAAGCAGACAUCUAAGCGGUAUUACGGCAAUUACAUCAACCCAAACGACAUCGUUUUGGUGAAGUAUUUUCUGCCACGUGAGUUUCUUUCUCACAAAACACACACACAUACGAACGAACAACCCCAAUACAAAUUGGUUUAUUUCAUCGUUGAAAAUUCACACGUUUCGUUUGGAAAUUGUUACACCACCAUGGCUUCCAUCAACAGCUUAUGGAUUCUCUCUCUCGCUCUUUUCCUCAUCGCUUCUCCUCUCAUUCAAGGUCUGCUUCUCAACAUUCUAGAUCUAGAUCCGUUUUAUCAUUCAUCAAUGCUUCUCUGCAUGUUACGAUUGCUUUAUUGCCGUCCCAUUUGCUUUUUUUUGCACCCCUUUUGAUAUUUGAUUGAUCUGUUUUAUAAUUUUAUCAAAAUUUAUUAUUUUUUGUUGGGUGCAUUGCCACUUUGAAGUCUUAGAGACUGAAAAUAUCGCAUUUUUAAUGUUGGGCAUUUUUUAUUCUAGUACAUGGCACUUCAAGUAAUGUUUUUUUCUUUGGGUUGGGGGAUUGAAUUUUGAACCAUCUGUGAGAGGAUAUAUUGGAUUUUAAUAGAUUCAAAUUCUAUGAUUAAUUUUUAAUAUAGAUUUCAAAUGUAAUUACCUACUUAACUGUGGUUUCAAAUACUUUUAGGCAGAGUUGUUUGAAGGGAUGACAGCGUGGUGUGGAUUUGAUCUAAAUUUCAUGUUGAAUCUGUACCUUUUUGGAUGCCAAUUUGAUUCAGCAUUUGGCUUAUGUUUAUUAUUUUUUAUUUUACUUGCCCUAUUGGAUCUUGUAUAUAAUUUGAUAAGCAUGUUUUUAUGCUUAUGUGCAUGACGACGAUUAUUGAACAUGGUUCUUGUUAUUUGCUAGUUGCUAGGUGCCAGUCAGACUCAGAUGAAGCUGUGGAUACUACUGGAGACGCGAGUGAUGUUGGCUUUGUUGGUGAUGAUGUGCAAGACUUUGGUUAUGGGACCUUUUCUUCUGCUCCAGGAAUUGAUACAAUAAGUGUAUUUCCAAAAAAUGUUGCAAAAUGUAAGGAUCGUUCUGUAAAGAGUGCACAUAAUGUAGUUUUAAUUGUUGUUUUCUGUAUUUGAUAAUAGGUUGAUUUUGUUUAUUCAUGUGAUGCAGUGGUAACAGCUGGAGAAGAGACAGAGCUUAUCGUUGGUGUAAAAAAUAAUGGUAAUUCAUUCAGAUUUGGAUACUCGUGUAUCCAGUGCUGUAGUUUCGCACUUUCAAGUUUCUUAAAUGUUUUGUUGUCAUUGUUAGUAUUCACGACUUUGUGUUACAUUCAUUUCGUGAUUCAACUAAAUUAUUUUGUUACUGGUGUUUGAGGAGUGUGGAAGCCAGGAGUAAAAUUGGGGGCUCUUUCAUUUGUAGUAUAGCUGAUUUCGUUUAUUUUGUGGACUGAAAACAGGGGAGUCCAGCUUGAAUGUUGUUGCAAUCAAGGCUAGUAUUCACCUUCCCAUCGAUCAUCGUCUGCUUGUUCAAAAUCUUACUGCUCAGGUAGUAAUUACUUACUGAACAUCCAAUUUAAACUUAUUUAUUCGUGUAAAAUAUUAUUCCGCUCUUGUUACUUUAAAUGAUUAGUUAUGCUUGUUACCCUGCAAUCAAUCUUAAGCUUCUAAUAAUAAAAUUGAUGAAAGCCAUUUAUGCAAAAACGGGAAUUUCAAAUCCUCCUGGAAAUAGUAGGCUGUGAUAUCUGUCAUAUCUGCAAGUAGCCUAAGAUUUUGUUAGGAUAGAUGAUGCCGAACAUCUGAAGUAGUUCUUCAAGUCCAUUUAGGAACAUCUGAUAAUUAUGAACCAAUUUCUUUGGCAAUUUAUGGUUAAUAUGUUAUUGUAUGCUUUUGCAUUUCUUGUGAAGGAAAUACGAUUCUGUGAUGUCAUGUCAGUAUCACCUAUUCUGAUUUGGUAAAUGACAUUACACAAAUAAUAUAACGCAAUUAUUUUUUUUUGAAUGCAGGUUUUUAAAAAGGGUUCUGUACCCGCCUCAGCACAAGCUACAUUCCCAUAUAUAUUUGCAGUCAGCAAGUUCCUGCAGGUAUCAACAUUACUUUGAAGGCAACUGCUUUUAGUUUCUGAUUGAGUGUGAAAUAUAAGAGUACUUUUAUACUCAUGAUGGCAUGAUACCAUAACACUUAAUGAUUUUCUCGUAUGCAGCCUGGAAGUUUCGAUCUUGUGGGCACUAUUGUGUAUGAGAUAGACGAGCAUCCGUAUCAAAGCACCUUCUUCAAUGGCACUAUUGAAGUUGUUGAAUCUGGUGGUUUGCUUAGCAUCGAAUCUGUUUUUCUUGUUACUCUUGGAGUUGCCCUCCUUGCCUUCCUGGGGAUAUGGACUCAUGGUCAAAUACAAAACCUAUCUAAGGUACUACAAUCUAUAAAUAAUGUGCUAUUAUUGGACCGCCUUCACAUUUAGACUUUGCUAGUUUUACUCAUAAUAACUUGUUUGGUUUAUUUAAACGUUUUUGUUUUCAUUUCCUGUAUUCACUUACUUUACAGAACUAAACUGCCUCUCCUUUUCAAUUUGUAUCAUAUUUGCAAAGAUUUGUAUAGGAAAUGGUGAAAACAAUGGUUGUACAGCAGUUGUUUUCAGUACAAACCUUUGAAAACAGAAAAUAGAGUGAAAGUAUAACAUGAAAAUAACAUGAACGUUUUCCGAUACCAAAGAGGCCCUAAACUUCUCACACUUUUAACUUGGUCCUGUCUCCAGCUUUGUGCACAUUUGUUUGAUUUACUAACUAUACCAUAGCAGUUUCUGAUCAUGUCUUACACAUUUAUAAUAAUAAUUGAUCAGAUUUUCAAUUUUAAAGAAAACCUUAGACUUUAAUAUUUCCUUCAUCUAUCUGAUAUUCUCAUGAAUAUUUGGUCAGAAAACAAAGAGGGCUCCAAAAGUUGAAGUUGGAACUAGGUCUACAGAUGCUUCGACAGACGAAUGGCUACAGGUCUGUUCUUAUGCUGCUAUAUACUAUCUUUAUAGUUGUUGGAUUUCAUGUUGUCAAUUUUGUUCCAUUAUAUUUAAACCUAUAAUAAUAAACUAGACAUCUGAAAUUGUUCUUUGUCGCCCAGGGAACUGCAUAUACUCAGUCUCAGUCAAACAAAUCAAAGAAGAAGAAGUAGAUGAAUAAUUAUUCUCAACGAUGUUGAGAUUUUCUGUUGUAGCUUAAAAGAAUUUUCACUUUUUUUCACCUUCCAAUGAUGUCGAGCUUUUUCUAAGAAAAAACUAACAGUGAUCUGAGUUAGGAAGGAUAGAACUUUUGAGAUGUGGCAUAAUUUUUGUUAGAUAAUGAUCAAUUUACUAUCUACGUUGUUUUGUUUUUGUUUAUCGAGAGCGAAUUUGGAAUAUCAUAUCUGGUCUGUGUGUUUUGUCAUUCUUUGGAAAGCAUAAUCUAGUCUAAUUGAACAAAGAGUAUUACUCAAAUCAGUCUCUUGGUGACUCUCCAAAUUGACAAGCAUAGAAAAUAGCAUAGCAUUGCACAUACUGGAGAUGCUUACAAAAUUAUAGUGUGACUAAUAAUAAACAAGGGCAAAAAUUAAAGUUCAGUUUGUGUUGUUUUCUUAUCAAAGUUGUUUUACACUGUCAUUGCACUACGUUUACACUAUUUCAAAAUGCCCUACUUUGACAAGCAAUAAUUACUCAAGGCGACACUCCAAAACGAGAAUUUGGGUAAAGCCUGGGUGUUUCCUGAGUAAAUGAGUAUCUUAGGGUUUUAGUUUGAUUACUUUGCCUAUUUAUAUACCUCAUAAGCUUUGGUCUCGGUUUCUUGUAACUCCCCAGUACCCAUUUAGUGGGGAAGGAUGUUGCUCCCUUGUUCCGCACAUGUCUUCUAUAACUUGACCAAGUAAAAAGACGCACAUGUCUUCUACAAUUUGACCAAGUAAAAAGAUAUGUGUUGGGUGUUAUCGCUUUGUUAGUAUUCGGAUAGUGGAUCAUUGUGUUCGAAUGUUGGGCCCAUGUGGUCUUUGAGUAACAUGUCGAGAUGGAAAGUUGGAUUUUCUCAUUUAAAAAAUUUAAGUUUGAAAUGCCAAAAUGGUUUUAAGGAAACUGUAAAAAUUAAAAAGUGUCAUUAUACCUCCACAAUUGAAAAUUUCAUUUUUGAAACUUUCGAGAAUUUCAUCUGGAAAUUUGAAAUUUUCGGUAGUUUGUUUUCAAUACCAGAAAUUUCAAUUUUUCGGGUAAAACUCCCAGAAAUCUCAUUUUUUUAAAUUUCCAAUAUUGACUCAUAACUAUUGGAAAUUUCAAAUUUCUGGAAAGUUCAUCGGAAAUUUCAUUUCUCAUUGAAUUUUCUGAAACAAUUUUUUUUUUUUUUUUUGUAAAUUUUUUUAAUAUACUUUUUAGUGAGGACCAAAGCUGAGUAAUGAUAACAGCUACUCAUUUUGUCGAUCAAUCUCUUUUGUCCAUGAUAUAACAGUUUUUCGUGACUAAAAAAUUUGAUCAGUUGUGAAUGUUUUAGUCAAGUUUAUACAUAAUGGUUGUAUUUUUUCAUCCAUAUUUCAAAAAAAAAAUAUAUAUAUAUAUAUCUAUAUAUAUAUACAUACCGAAUUUUUGAAUUUUCUAGUUGAGUAAAAGUAACUACCAGAAAUUUUAAAAAUUUAAAAUUUUCAGUAUUAUAAAAUUAAUUAACUAUCGGAAAUUUCAAGGCACAAUUUUUCGGUAGUAUAAAGAAUGUACCGAAAAUUUGUCGGCGAAAUUUCCGGUAAACAAAUUGUAUAGCCAGAAAUUAAAAAAAAUGAAAUUUUUGUUAUAAAUUGUGUAUCGGAUUUUUAGGCGAAAAAUUUUACUUAUCGGAUUUUUAGGCGAAAAAUUUUACUUAUCGGAUAUUUGGUUGAUGGGGUCAGAUUUUAGAGUAACUUUUUUUUUUUUUUUUACCAUUUACUAUUUAAAAAUUAAAGGGAUAAUUUUGGAGUUUUAAUAAUUUGGGAAAAUAUGUCCAAUUGAAAGGUACGAAAUCCAACUUUCGUCAAGAUGUUGGUUAAAUUGUGACAAUCAACAACCCCUCAAGUAUCAUGUCUUAAAAGUUGAGAAGUUUAAGUUGGACAUGAGGAUCCACAACCUCUCAAACAUGGAGUCUGAAUAGCAUGAGAUGCUUAAGUUGGGCACGAUAGUCUACAAUACCUCAAGCUGAGACCUCAAGGACAAGAUGUGUAAGUUGAUUAUUAUCAUUGGACUUUUCACAAUUCAAACAACACUAAAAAGAAGCACUUUAAGUUUGCCAAUUAUAAUUGGUAAUGAAACAAAGUUGAGGCACUAAAAGAUUCAUAAGUGUAACAUCUAGACGUUUUAUUUUAUUUUAAUAUUUUACCUUAUUAGGAAUUGAGAUAAUUAUUCUAAAAAAAAUGGUGGUUACUAUUUUAAUGUGUUAUUUUAAUUUUUAAUAAUAAUAAUAAUAAUAAAAUGAACGGUUAAAAACAAAUUUCAUGUCUUAGAUUGAAAUAUCAUUUUCUCCAUUUAAUACCACGUUAUACCAGUUUAACGUUCCCACAUCUGGUUUAAGGUUCCCCACAUCUGGUUUAAGGUUCGCCACUCUUGGCUUAACUUUCUCCACUUCUGUCAACGUUCUCUACUUCUGAUUUAAGGUUCCCCAUUUCUGAUUUAAGGUUCCCCAUUUCUGCUUUCUGGCUUAACUUCCCAUUUGUGGCUUAAAGUUAAUCCUUUUUUGAUAAAAAAGAAACAAAAACAAAACAGACGUCUUUCAUUCAAAAAACACUCUUUGAUAUAAAAGAAGGGUUUAGGAGAGAAAAAGAGAUAGACCACUUUGAUAGAAAAGGCAACCACUAAAAGAGAAAAGAGAUGAGUAACUCCAUUCCCGAAUUUGUUAAAUCAGUAUCAGAAAAUCAUCGACUGCGCAUUCGUUAACCGUUAGAUCGGGCUGAUUUUCGGACAACAGGUUUGCAGCGUUCAGACCCACGUUUUCAACGGUCGGAUCGGCCGAAAUGACGUUCAGAGAGGGAGAAACCAUGCUCGCACAGCAGCAGGUGUGAAAUGAGUGAGACAAAAGUUUGUGAAGCAUAAUUCUAAAUAUAACUCUAGUAAUGGUAAGGGCAUCACUCCAUUCGUUUUCUUAUUUGAAUUAUAUGUGAUAUAAAUGUACUGUUAUAUUAUUUAUUGGUUUUGUUUGUGUGUUAUCUUCAAAAUGAAUAUUAAUAAUUAUUGUGUUGAGUAUAUUCAAAGUGCGAAAAAUAAAUGUUAUGUGAUAUAUUGUUAUAAUGGCUGUGUUGAGCAUAUUCAAAGUGCGAAGAAUAAAUGUUAUGUGAUAUGUUUUUAUAAUGGUUGUGUUGAACAUAUUCAAAGUGUGGAAAAUAAAUAUUAUGUGAUAUGGUGUUAUAAUGGUUGUGUUGAACAUAUUCAAAGUGUGAAAAAUAAAUGUUAUGUGAUAUGUCGUUAAUAAGUUAGUAUUGCAUUAUAUUUUAUUAAAGUGUCCACAUUCAUGCAUUCAUUCAUAGUCGUGUGGUGGUGCGUCCAUAAUUGGUUGGAGCCCACAGAUCCUUGCGGGGAUGUUGAGUCAGUGGUGUUGCUUGGAAGGACCCACGAAGCUCGAGUUAGUGGUGUUGCUUGGAAGGAUCCACGAAAGCCCUUGCGGGGGAGGCGAUAUUCCGGAAUCAUUACAUUGGCAUAUAGAUUAAGCAAGAAGUCUGUUGCAUAUGCAUUAAUUAAAGUGUGACGAGUGUUUUGUAAAGAUAACUAAUACAUUGUAUCUCUUGUUUUUGGGUGAAUUAACGUUAUUAAAAAUGUUAUACUGUAUCUUCUGGUUUUGGGUGAAUUAACGUUGUUAAAUAUGUGAUAUAGUACUUCUAUAUCUACCUGGUAGUUGGAUGAAUGAAUUAAGGUUAUUAAUUACGCAAAUAUUGUACUGUUAUAUUUUCAUUGUUAUUGUAACUUUAGUGCGUUGUGAUUUUUAACUAUUAAAUGAAGUACUAUAUUUGCUAUGUAUGCAUGCAUACUCUGUGUUUGUUAUUUGGAGAUGACUCUUACAUUUGACAGGACGUCACAUAUAGUGUUACUUGAGUGAAUAAUAUCACGAUCAACCUAAUAGGAGAAAUGCGAGAAAGUACAAUAGCAUGCAGUUGGAGGCUCUGAGAUACUUUUGUAUCGGUGUUAGACUUGUUUGGUGAGUUUUCCACAAGUUCAAAGUUUGUGACCAACUAGAAUUUAUGUUUGGGUAGUAAAACGUCGAGAGUUUUGACUCUAGGAGUUCUUUUGUUUAAUGUAUUAAAUUUACUUUUAGUAAUUGCAAAUACUCUGAUUUAUUAUUUUUGAAAUAUAAUUAAAAUAGUUAUUAAAUAUUUUUAAAGUAAAUGAGUACUUAAGAUAAUCAUAAAUAAAUAAAAAUGAAUUUGAAAUUUUACGUUUAGAAUUUUCGUUAGUUAAUGUCUCGAAAAAGCGGGAUGUUACAAUAAGUGUAGUUUGUGUUGUUUUCUUAUUAAAGUAUGACAUGUUGAGAGUGAGUUGGUUUAGGUGUUUUGUAUAAUACGAUGUGACAUAUUGAAUGGUUAGAAUUGGAUGAAAGUGUAACUAUUUUACAUUGUCAAAGCACUACGUUUACUGUAACACCCCGAUUUUCAAAGCGAUGAUGUAUUUUUUUUUCCAAAAGAGAUUAAAAUAAAACAGAGAAAAACAAAUAAGGAAAUACUUUUGGAUAAAUAAUUGAGUCAUUAUAAUUUACAAGCAGCAGAAAAGUUUCUCAAAAUACGAAUCCAAAGUAUUUACACUUCAAAAGGUGGUACAUAGACCCCAUCAUAAAUAACAUGUCAAACAGACAAUAUUAGUAUAGGUACAGUUUUCCGAAUUAAAAUACUGCAACCCAAAACGAAGGACGUCUAGUCCCUAUACAUCAACCUAAUCUGAUCAUCCUACAAAAAACUAUACACCAUGAGUGAUCUCCACGCGCCCCGUGAGAUCCUCCUACAUAACUCCAAUCAAGCAUUCCCAUCCGUAGGGCACGAACCAGCAGGAUCGUCAUGGCUCUCAUCUGAGGGCAAAACCCAGAUUUCCACAAUAGUUGUAAAGGGUUACCAACCGAAAUUAACAGAUAACACAUAACAUUUAAGUUUUAAAUGCACAAAAAACCUUUCAACUAAGCAUGCACCUUAAAAGGAUUUCUCAUAUGCUAAAAGUUCAUGUAAUGCUUGCCAAUUAAAAAUGAAAUCAAAAUGAAGUUCUCAAACCAUCAAGUAAUACAUAACUGACCAAAGCAUUGAUAAAUCAAUUGAGCAAUCGAUUAUCUAACUAAAAAUAAAGAUUUCUACUGAGCCAAUCGAUUGCCAAAUCGAUUUGGUCAGUUUUUGCUGAGUUCCUGUGUUGCCAAAUCGAUUGCCAAAUCGAUUUUGUUAGUUUUGCUGAAUUUCUGUGUUACCAAAUCGAUUGCCAACUCGAUUUUGUCAGUUUUGCUGAGUUCCUGUAUUAAGGUCAAUCGAUUUCCAAAUCGAUUUCUUAAAAUAUUUUGAAAGACAUAUUUAUACAAUCGAUUGGCAAAUCGAUUAGGUUAAAAUAGUGAAGUUCCUGCAACUCAUCCAAUCGAUUGGGAAAUCGAUUUCCCUGCUUAUUCUUCCAAAAAUACUUAAACUAAUUCAAUCACACUCACACAUAAUUCCAAAACUUAACACUUAGCAAUUCCCACACAAUCACCACGACGAAUUAGUUUUCGAAAUAGUUUUAUAAUCCAUCGCACUCACGCACGAUAAUCAAUACAUACCACUUAGCAAUUCCAACACAAUUACCACGACAAUUCCUAUUCAAACCACUCAAUCAUAAACCUGAUUCAAACACGACUCGUGUGCCAAGCACCCUAAUGCAAUGCGUAUAUGCCAAAAUGCAUGGACUCAGAAUUCCAAACCAAAACCCUCCUUGAAGGGUCGUAAAUCAUAAUUGUACCGCCUAUCGCAGGCCAAANNNNNNNNNNNNNNNNNNNNNNNNNNNNNNNNNNNNNNNNNNNNNNNNNNNNNNNNNNNNNNNNNNNNNNNNNNNNNNNNNNNNNNNNNNNNNNNNNNNNNNNNNNNNNNNNNNNNNNNNNNNNNNNNNNNNNNNNNNNNNNNNNNNNNNNNNNNNNNNNNNNNNNNNNNNNNNNNNNNNNNNNNNNNNNNNNNNNNNNNNNNNNNNNNNNNNNNNNNNNNNNNNNNNNNNNNNNNNNNNNNNNNNNNNNNNNNNNNNNNNNNNNNNNNNNNNNNNNNNNNNNNNNNNNNNNNNNNNNNNNNNNNNNNNNNNNNNNNNNNNNNNNNNNNNNNNNNNNNNNNNNNNNNNNNNNNNNNNNNNNNNNNNNNNNNNNNNNNNNNNNNNNNNNNNNNNNNNNNNNNNNNNNNNNNNNNNNNNNNNNNNNNNNNNNNNNNNNNNNNNNNNNNNNNNNNNNNNNNNNNNNNNNNNNNNNNNNNNNNNNNNNNNNNNNNNNNNNNNNNNNNNNNNNNNNNNNNNNNNNNNNNNNNAAGAACGUUCUCUGUUUUAUAACAUAAACCAAGAACGUUCUCCGUUUUCUGUUUCAUAACCAAGAUCAUUCUUGAGUUAUUUUCUUAAGUUUUAACAGGAAUUUUUAAAAGGCAUAUUUACAAUUCAAACCCCCCUUUCUUGUAAAUCGACAUUGUUACUUCAAACACAACAAGUCUCAUUUACUCAAAAUCAUACACACAUGAGUUUAAAUUCAUUUUCCACGAAACAUUCAUCAAUAUUAAUUGAGAACACGUCGAAUACGAAGAACACAAAUCAAUACAAUCCACCACUCAAACACAACAAGUCUCAUUUACUCAAAAUCAUACACACAUGAGUUUAAAUUCAUUUUCCACGAAACAUUCAUCAAUAUAACCAAAACCUAACUCUAAGAUUUUACCCAUAAAGCCUUAGAUUCAUUUUCCCCCAAAUCAACACUCUAACCCUAACAAAAUUCUUUUCCGCACAACCACAGAUAAGUCCCUAAAUGCAAACUAAAAGUUUGGAAGGAGCCCUUACCUUAACGUUAGCUUUAACGUGCGUUUCCGGUACCACGAGUAAAUCCGGUAAAAUCUCCGCUCGCGACGUCGCUUCCAAGUUGGUCCACUAGCACCGUAGUGUGGUGGUGAGCAACUUUCGCUUCUAUCUCUUCGCGAAAUGAAGCUUAGAUCUAGAUGAAACGGGGUGGUUUGUGUUUAACAGUUUUGAAAUCCCUAACACCGUUUUUCUUCGUUUUCGAAUCAAACAAGAAGAAUGAAGUUGAGUAAUCUUCUCUCUCACACUCACCAAACCUUGAGUUUCUAAUCUUGAAGAAAAGGAACGAAAAAGAAAGCAAAACCAAGAAGAAUAAGAAAUGGGUUUCGCGUAGAGGCAGCAGAGGAAGAAGAUGGAAAUUAUGGAUUUUCUUUCUUUCCUUUUUCCUUUCUUUGUUUUUCCUCUCUUUCUAUUUCUUUUCUUCCUUUUUCCUUCUUUCCUUUUUAUAUCUUUUUCUUUUCUUUCUAUUUCGUUCUCUUUUCCCUCCACACAAACAUAUAAAUAUAUAUAUAUAUUAAUUAUAAUUAACAAAUAUCUCAAAAUAUCUAGAUAUUUGUUAAAUUAUCAUUUCACCCGUAACGCAUUAAAUUCUCCGUAAAGGAUUCAUCGCACUUAAUUUAAUUUAUUUAUCGACAAGCAAUUCUAAUCGGCAUUAAAAUCUCUUUUUGAUCAUAUAAACUCCAAAAUAUUAUUAACUUUGGCUAAAAAGCCUCCGAGCCAAAAUCCAAAAUACACAAAAAUACAUAAAGUGUACUUUAAAAUUAUGGGUCUUACAUUUACACUCUAUUUCAAAUGCCCUACUUUGAGAAACUAUAAUUACUCAAGGUUGAAGUAACAAUGUCGAUUUACAAGAAAGGGGGGUUUGAAUUGUAAAUAUGCCUUUUAAAAAUUCCUGUUAAAACUUAAGAAAAUAACUUAAGAAUGAUCUUGGUUAUGAAACAGAAAACGGAGAACGUUCUUGGUUUAUGUUAUAAACAGAGAACGUUCUUAAAUUAGCAGAAAAUCAGUUUCUAUUUUAUCUUAAAUGAUUAAUGCAGUAUAAUAAAUAAGGAGAUAGGAAAAAGAAUACCACACAAAGAUUUAUCCUGGUUCACCCAACGUGGGUUACGUCCAGUCCUCACACUGUGAGAUUUUCCACUAAGUGUUUAAAAUGAAGAGCCUUCUUAAUCUUACAACACCUAGAAUAGAUCGACCUUGAUCUAUUUCUUUCUUAAUUAUUUUCCACCCAGAAAGCAAUUACAACACCUAUCUAACCUUGAUAGGAAGCAAUCUUAAACAAACUAUAAAGAAACUCUUAUAGUUUGAGUUUUUACAAAUGAUUGAAUUUGACAAAAUCUGAUAUUGCUCAACUCUUGUUUGAGAAUAGAUUCUUUACAGAGAAUUUGAUGACAAUUUCGCAGCUGGUAUGUGAGUUAGCAGCAGUAACAGUUUCGCGAAUUGCAGAAAGUGAUGUUGCCUCUGUUUUUGCUGAAUUUCAAGCUUAUGUGAGAUUGUAUAUUGUUGGUUACUUAGCACUUGAAUUUCAUACUGAGAACUGGGAUAAUGACCUUCUAUUUAUAGGCUGUAGAUGUACUUGAAUGAAGGUACAAGAGCUGUUGGAGAAACUAUGCUUUUUGACUGAACCAUUAUUUUUAGAAUAAAAAUAAUCCUUCUUUGAAAAUAGCUUUUUGACUUUUAAUGGUCUAGCAUUUAAAGCAUCUCAGUCCUUUCUUUGACGUUUCUUCAUUGAUCUUGGAUGGUACAUUAUCUGCCUUGAGUCUUGAGUGUAGCUAGAGAAGGUUGGAGAAGAUUAGAAACGAAUUGCAGACUGAAACAGAGAGAAUGCAAAGCUGCUGUUGAUGUGCAGAAAACGGAGAAUGAUUAACGUUCUUGGUUUUAUUAGUUUGAACUUUCUUGAGCUUCAAUAAUCAUUUUGGAGUUCCCGUUUUAAACGUUCUGUAUUUCCUUUGUUCUUGUCUUGUCAUAUACCCAGUUUGAUCAAGUUUUCUUGACAUUUGAAUUUUGGAAUUCUUAAGCCGUCAUGACUUUUGUCCAUCUUUGAAUCCUUUGAUCUUUGUGAUCAAGUAUCCUUUUUUAGUCUGGAUUAUUCGUAUUUGUUCCUUGCCGUGUACUUAUUAGAUAUGAGAGAUUUCCAGAUCAAACUUUUUAUCACAUGGAUAGAAAAGAUUUGACCAACUUGUUGUGAUGGAUAAUUUGGUGAAGCUGAAGAUCAUUCUCUGUUUCUGAUGCAGAAUGAUCUUGUUGUUGUCUUUUCUUGUAUUUGCUUGAUUCUGCUCUUAAUUAAAUCCACUCAAGAACACAAGUUAAAUUAACAUAACAUUUAGAAUCAUAAUUAACAUUCUUAAUUAACCUUUGUUUAUUCUCAUCAAAACUUUAAAAUAGAGAGUUUGUCUCAACAAAGGUGACACACCAAUACUAAACAAUAUUAUAACAACACACAAACUACUUAGCCUAUUAUGUUGUCUCCACAUCAGUACUGUUCUUGAAGUAGAAUUUGGGUAGACUUAAUCGAAGAUGUAUUGUUUGGGUGUUUCCAGAGUAAAUGAGCAACUUAGGGUUUUAAUUUUAUUAUUUUGCUUAUUUAUAUAUAUCAUUGGUCUCAAAGUUUCUUGUAACUCCCCACUACCCAUUUAGCGGGGAAGGAUGUUGCUCCCUUGUUCCGCACAUGUCUUCUAUGACUUGACCAAGUAAAAAAAUUGUGUUUGGUGCUAUCUCUUCGUUAGUAUUUGGAUAAUGGAUCAUUGUGCUCGAAUAUUGGGCCCAUUGGUCUUUGUAUGACAUGUCGAUAUGUUGGUCAAAUUAUGACAAUCCACAACCCCUCAAGCAUCAUGUCUUAAAAGUCGAUAAGUUUAAGUUGGAGAUGACGAUCCACAACCUCUCAAACAUGGAGUCUUAAUAGCACGAGAUGCUUAAAUUGGACAUAAUGGUCUAUAAUUCCUCAAAUUGAGUUCUCAAGGACAAGAUGUAUAAGAUGAUUAUUAUCAUUGGGUUUUUCACAAUUCAAACAACACUAAGAAAAUCACUUAAAUUUUGUCAAUUAUAAUUGGUAAUGAAACAAAGUAUUGGAAGUUUUAAUUCUCUGGGCUUCUAGCUUAGUUGGUGCUAGCAUAAUGUUUACUCUGGGUCAAUAAACUUCUUCCCACCAUUCCCGAAACUUAAAAAAAAAAAAAAAGGAAUUGUUAUAUAUUUUUUUCAUUAACAUGAAAGAUAUUUGUCUCGUAAAUGUAAUUCAUAGUAAAAUGCUAUAGUAACAUUGAUAAGUUGAGACAGGAGUUUGAACCUACAAUACUCUGUUUCUUCGUCUUUAAUAUGUGUGAGUUUCGUCACUAAAUUCUUUAAAAUAAAAUAAAAUAUAAAAGAGAAUUAGAAGUAAAAAGUUUUUUUUUAUGAGUAAAUGUUAGUAUAUUAGCUAUGUUAAUAUUUUUCUCUUCACCAAAGUUUGAACUUCGAUUUAUUUACACUUAUAUCUUUGGAUUCUUAACUCUAAUAAAUGAAAUUACCAAUUUAUAAUUAUAUUUUUAUUUAGAAUCAUUUUUUGAGAUCGUAUUCUUGUAAAUUUUCUCUUCUCAUAUUCUAUAGGAACUGAAUCAUCUCAUGUCACACGAGGAUUCGAUUAAAUCUCCAUCCCCAUAGAAAAUCAAAAAGUUUACAAUAAGAUAAAGGAGGGAUGGGAGACUUAAAGCAAGAUAUUUGGAAAAAAUUGAAUGAACGCCCUCUCAUAUUGUUACCGUUCCGUCUAGGGUACUGUUGCAUAGUAGAUUUGUUCAAGUAUUUAUAUAUAUAUAUAUAUAUAUAUAUAUAUAUAUUAUAGUGAUAUUUAUUAUGUUUUUAAUAUAAAAAAACUCAAUGUAUAUCAAUGACAAAAUAAUAAUAUCUCACUAAUACAAUAUACAGCACAUUGUAUAAUUUGUUUAUGUAUAUUCAUGUGAAAAAAUAAAGUUUAUUUUAUCUCAAAGUUGUGGAAAAUUUUGUAUAUAUAUUAUACGUUUUAAUAAAAAUAAUACUUACAAUGCAUAUUCAAUACCCAUAGCUAGGACAGGUACUACCAUUUCCACCCUUAUCUGAGAGGUGUCCUUUUACUACCAUAUAGACAACCUAUACGGAUAAAUACAAUUAUUUUUGUCUUCUCUUUUAAAAAGUUGAGAUUUAAAAACACAAGAACAUGAUGGAGAAUAAUUUUAGGAAUAAUUAUGAAGAAAAUUAACUAAAUGAUUUACAUUUGAAUUUAACUUAUUUUAAUGUAAUAUCUAUGAAUAAUUACUUUUACUAAAAUAGUAUUUGACUAUGUGUUUGAAACUAGGACCAAAUGAUUUUUGGAACAAGUUUUAAAAUGAUAAAAUUAUAGUUUCAAUUUUUUAUUUUACAAAAUGAAAAAAUCGUAAUCAAAUUUUGUAAAUUUUAUUUUACUACAAUAAUAAAUAAUAAUUUUAUUUAUAAUUUUAUAGAAUUAAAUUAAUUAUAUUUUUUAUCUAUUUAAUUUUUUAAAACAAAAAAUUAAAGUAUAAAAUUAUUACAUGAUAGUCAAGACAUUUCAACUAUAUUGAGAGUUCAAGACAAUUACAUAUUAUUUAUACCACCUUAAAAAUUUAUUCAAUAAGCAAAAUAAAAAAGAUACAAAGAAAAAUUGAAGAGUUAGGUCAAAAUCCAACAUAAACGGACAAAAACAUGAACAAUAUAUGCUCUAUAAUUAAAAACAUUACUAAAAAAGUUUCAAAGACUAAUUUUUGUGAAAUAAAAAUAGUGGAAAGCAAACAAAAUUUUAAACUUUUGAAAAAUAUAAACAAAAACGAUAAUCAAGUCAUCAUAAUUUAUGAAAUAUCAUCCUACCAAACAAAAUCAUUACGUUGAAGAUUUAGAGAAAUAAUUUUGUCUAUAUAACUAUUACUUUCUUCAAAAUAUGAUAAAUAAAAAAUGCAUAUAUUAAAUUUUUAGUUCUUCCAUUAAUUUUAUUUAUAUUUUUAGGUGGUUAAUUUAAUUUAAUUUAAUGAAAAUUCUUAAAAUCUUAUUUUCAUUAAAAUAUUUGGUGCUUACAAUAAUGAAAUGAAAUUGAAGUUUAUAUAAAAAAUGAAAUUGAAAUUCCAAAUAAACUUUUAAAGACACGCACAUGCAUCAAUAGCAUCAAAGCAAAUAAUUGUCACACUCAAGUUUGCAAUAUAUAGUUGGAUGAUGGAUCUAUAAUUAGUGAUCAUUGCCGACCCUAAUGUUCACCAGUAUUUGCAGCCCCAUGCUUAAUUACCCAUUUCUAUUAAAUGCUUAUAUUUAAUACGUGCUACUUAGUAGGAGUGGGAGGACAUAGGUUCACCCAAAAAACCUAGCCAUUAACAAAAUAUAGGGCCUAUGCUACCCCCAAUAAAUAAAUAAACUUUAAACACUUCAGUGGCAAUUAGGAAAAUGUCACAUUUUUUCUUUAAUUAAUUAACAGAACUCUCCCUCCUUCCUUUUGACUACUUGACCUUUAUUUUAUUGAGAAAUUGACUCGAUUUGACUUUUGUUUUAGUACCUUUCUUUGCAUUGAAAUAUGGAUAUAAUUGUAAAACCAUUAGGCAUGUAUCUAAAUCAAUCUUAUGAGAGAUAUAGAUAGUUCACUACAAUAAUUGAAAUGCAUGUGUCAAAAAUAAAUAAUUGAAAUGCAAAACAGAAACCGCGGCAAUUAAAUACGAAUAAUGUGGAAAAGGUUUUCCCUAAAAGACUCAGGUAAGACUUUAUAAGUUAUAAUGUUAAAAUGAGUUUAUGUCUUCACUUGUGGAACCUUUAUGACUUCAGAAACAUUCAUGGACAAGUUAACUAAGAGAACCUUUAACAAUUGAAACACACUGAUGAUUUAAUUAGUUAAUUUCAAUUUUUUUUGUCGAUAAAAUUAAUAAUUAUGUUAGUUUUUCAUAUUUGAAUUUAAAAUCUCCUUAAAUAUUUUUAGUAACCCUAUAGUUAGCUCAUCAAUUAAGUUACAUACGAUAAAUUUUUUUAAUAAAUAAAUAUUAAUAAACUAUUGGUUAUGUUAGUUAGUUAAAAAGAUAUAUCGGAUGAGUAUCAACUUUGAGAGAAAAAAAAUACUUAUGAUUAUAAUAUUUUUUAAUAUUUUAAACUUAUAUUGACAAAAUUGUCUAAAAUAACUGAGAUGAUUAUUCAUUGCAAUGUAAAACAGUGAAGCUUCCCCCUUCUCAAUAAACAUAGUAAAUAUUAAGCUUAAUUAUUCGAGGGGUCUAGUAUCGUCUAGCCCUUUAUUAUAUAUGAAGACAAAAUUACACUUCUCUUUCUCAUGGCAGAUUUUGUCCAUUGAAUAAAUAUAAUAUAUAUUACAUGUUAAACAAUUGUAAUACAAUCAUUUUGUAAGCAUAUACUGCUCUAUCUAUUUUUGACAAACGGUUUAAUAAACUAUAUGUGUAAUCAAUAAUUUUAUCAAAUUAUAUUUUUAAAUAUUAAUAUAUUUAUAGAUGAUAAUUAAAUGUAAAUUUUAUGAACACUUGGAGAAAAAAAACUUGUAACAAGUAAGAUAAAAAUAAAUAUUAUAAAUGUACAUGUACAAGAACUAGACGAUUACGUGUAAAAUUGAGCAUAUAAAAAUUUGUCUUUUACAAAAAAAUAAGUAAAAAUUAAUUAAAAAAAAAAGUAGUUAAAAUAUUUUGUUUUGAUAGAGUUGUUACUUUCAUAAAAUGUUUGCUUAAAAUCAAAGAAAGAAAAAAAAGAUAUUUUCCCACGUAGUUCGUCGGUCAAAUUAACGAUUAUCUUUUCAAAAUUAUAAGAAAUAUUUUUUUUCGUCUAAUUAGACUUCUAUGAAUGCAAUGAAAAAACUAUCCCCUCCUAUUUUUCUGUCCAGUCAGAAAGAUAUAUAAGAAGACUCAAAAGAAUUUUUAUUUACCUUUAACCUAGUUUUGUUUAUAUUUCAAAACGGAGAGAGUGUUUGUUAUAUACAUAUAUACACAUUUUUAUGAUUUUUUAUGUUUAUUGUAAUAUAUAGUUUUCUAAUUGAUAAAAAAUAUAAUUUUUUAUGCUUUUAUUUGUCUAAGUACAAUCAUUUGUAACAUUUAAUGAGAAGAUUUGAAAUAAUUUUGAGUUGUAUAUUAAUUGAAUUGUGUUUUCCAUUUUUGUAUUUUUAUGAUGAAUUCUUUUGUUAUUUAUUCUCUUUUCAUAGUCAAAUUGCAAGCAAGGGUAGUCAAUAAAGACACUUAAAUGAUAAAAAGAUAUGAUAUGAUACACUUAUGUUAUUCUAUUCUACGUUAAUUUAUUGUUUGAAACACCAAUUAUAUAUGAUAGAGUAAUCAAAUUUUUUAAAUAUAUUUUGUUUCAGUCUUAUGUUAAAUCCGGUUCCAACCAUAUAAAAGUUAAUAAAUAUUUUUUUUUAUUUUUUUUGUCAUUUUUUACUCACAUUUCUCUCUCCUUCUCCACUUUGUCGUCCCCUUCCUCUCCAUCGUGCCGCCACUCUUGUGCUCUUCGCUAUCGUCGCCCUUUUCUAAGUAUUGUUUUUCUUGAUUUUCUCUUUAUUGCCCUAAUUUUAUUUGAUUUUCUCUGAUUUUAGGAUUGUUUUCUGUCAUUGAUAUUGGAUUGAUUUUAUGAUUGUUGAAGUUAAGUUGAUUUCCUUUUUUCAUAUUUGCCAUGAUAUUUUCUUUCUGAUUUAUUUUAUUUUACAAUAGGAUAAAAGUUAUGAUUGUUUUGUGAUGUUUGAGUUUUAUGUUAAUUAUUUUUUUAUAUAACUACUAAUAAUAAACUUUGAUUGAUAUUUAAACAAAAUGGAGGGAGAAUAAUAAUUAUUUUCCUCAUCCAUCUAUGUUCUUUGUUAAGAUGUAUUGAUAUUCUAUUUUGCGUUGAUGGAUAAUAAUAAUAAUAAUAAUAAUAAUAAUAAUAAUAAUAAUAAUAAUAAUAAUAAUAGUGUUGAUACUUAUAUAUAUAUAUAUAUGAAUAUAAAUUCACAAGAACAAAAUAAUGUGAUGCUAUAUCUAAUGUUAGAGCAAAUGUAUUUAAAGAUAGUUAGCCUUUGUUUAAUAAUUUUUAUGAUAAUGAGUUAUUCUUCAAUGUAGUUUUAUAAAAUUAUAGCAUUCGAAAUUGACUAAUGAAUAGAGAGUGAUUAAGAUGAUAACUUUUAGAGAGUUUGGUCAAUCAAGAUGAUGUCACAUGUGUUAAUCAACUUCACAUGGAUAUUAGAUCAUUUCGACGAUUGUGUGUUCUCUUGCGUCCCGAAGGUAGGUUGAAAUAAGAUAGAGUAGUAACUAUUGAAGAACAAGUGGCUACGUUCUUACACAUAUUAGCUUAUCAUUUUAAAAACCGCGUUAUUAAGUUCUUAUUUAAACGAUAAAGACAAAUAGCUAGUAGGCAUUUUAAUUCAAUAUUGAAUGAAGUUUUAUGGUUACACGAAAUUAUUCUUAGAGCACCUGAUUUUGUUUCAGAAGAUUGUUUGGAUGAAAGAACGACCAAGUGGAAAUUCGAUCAAAGAGAAUAAUUAAAGGAACACAUAUUAUUGCUAAUGGUAUUUAUGAGUCAGGAAAAACUUUUGAGAAUUGACUUGAAAAAAGUUUAGGACGAUUGGGUGAAGCUGCAAAUCGUCUAAGUGUUGGUAAAAAUGUGUUUGAUGAUUUCAGAAAUAUUAUGAAUGGGUUUAAGAAAAUGCAACUAAUAGAAUAAAAAUGUUUUGCUGCAAAAGACAUAAUGUUUACGUGUUUCACAUCGCUUGCACAUAUUUUUGGAUUGUGAUGAUAUUGAUUGUCUUGCAUUUGUUAAAUCGUUGAUCUACUAGUUCUAUUUUUGUACUUGAUUUUACUUAUCUAAUUUUAGUGCAAUUUACUUUUAUCUGUUUAUUUUGUAUGAUUUGUUGAAACAUGUAAGACAACAUAAUAUUCUUUAUGAUACUUUAUUGCUACUACGUAGUCGAUAAUUUUAAUUUUAUACAAUGUGUUAAAUUUUUUAAUGAUUAUGUUUUUUAAUAUUAUAUGUUUUUGGAUUUUUAAAUUUUCAAGUAUAUAAAAUUACUUUAUAGAUUAUUUAUAUUUUUUAGUAUUUUUAUUUAUUUAUAAAAAAAAUAUGUGAAUGUUAUUUUGAAACAAAAAAAUUAAAUAAAUUAUAAGAACAAACUUACCAUUUUAUCACAAUAUAAAUCAUAUCAUUUGGUUAUGUAUUGUGUUUCAAACAUUGAAUAAGAUAAAUCAAUCUUAUCAAGUUAAGCACAUAAUAUGAUAACUCUUUAUCAAGUUCAUAUCUUAUUUUGUGCUCCUUAUCUUAUGAUAUAUCUAUCAUAUCAUGUCCAUCAAAUACGCCUUAAAAUUACUAUUCAUAACUAAUGGGAUAUAAUUGGAUAAUUUUUUCAAACGCGUGUACCAAGGCAAACACAAUACCAUGCCAGAAGGGUGCUCAUUGUCAUCAUAAAUAUAUUAAUUAUUAUCAACAAAUACAAUAUUGAAAUAUAAUGACUUAUCACAACAGUACCAUGCCAGAAUGUUAUAUUGAAAAAAAAUCUAAUUUAUUAGCCCUCUGACCUUUUCUUUUGUCUUUACGGUGAUAUAAGUAAUCCACUUGGUCCAUCACAACACAAGCGAAUGACCCUUUCUUUAUUUCAUUAUAUUAUUAUUAUCAGCGAACAUAGGAAAUAUUAUGAUAUAUUCUAAAAUGAAAUAAGAAUUGUGAUUAUAUGUCUCAAUUUCACAAUUUUAUAAAUUAUUGAUUCUAAGUCGUAUGUUGUAGUCAUAAAAAAUUUCAUAGUUAAAAAGUCUAAUAUUUAAAAGUCCUUAAAAUUUAAUAGAUUUUGUAGGGUCUAUGAAUCUACUUUUCAUAUUAUUUUUUUAAAUUUGAUAAUUUAUUUCUAAACAAAAUUUUUUGACAAAAAUUUUAAUUUGAAAAAAAUAAUUUUUUACUUUUCUUACAAAAUUUUUUAAAAAAUAAUUAUUUUAUAUUUUUUUGAGAAAAAUAAAUUUUAACAAUAGAUUUUUUAAAAGAGUUUUAAAUUGUGAGGUUUUGAUAACUUUAAUUGUGGUAUACUACUUGAAACUGAAAUAAAUAGAUAUAAAUAUUGUGGUACAUUUGAAAAUGAAAUAUGAAGAAUAUUGUGCGGUGGUGUUGUCUUUCUCGUAUCCAAGGGCAGGAACAUCAUGAUAAUUAUCAUGAUCUUCUGUAAAAUUUAUAAAUAUGCUCUUGUGAAAUUAAUAAAGAACAAUGAAGUUGACUACUAUUACAUGUCAACCUUGGUGAAAAGCUCAAAGUUGAUAUAAUUCUGAUGAGUAAAAUUUAAUGAUUCAUUAAUGUGAAAAAUUGAAAAGUAGAAACGUUGCUAUAUUAUUCCAUUUUUUUGUCAAAAGUGUACAUUUCAGUGAUAGUACAAUGUCAAAAGCAUUUAUUAGUACCAUAAGUAGGUAGAGACAGAUGUCAAAAGGAUAUAGUAUAGUUAGUUGUGAAGUUUAAAACUAUAAUGCAUUCAAUGAAAGCAGUGUGAUUUGUUAAUAGUAUAGAUGACGAGUGAGUGCUGAUUAAUGUCUUUUUCUUAGUAGAUGGUUAUGGCCCUCUUGCACCAUGUGAAGUUCUUAAUUUCUAUGUCGGUGAGCUUUGGAGAUAAUAUCCAAGAUUGUUUAUAUAUUAGCCUAUUAGGCACUUCUAAUAGCAUACACUCACAUUUCAUGAUCAAACCAAAGAAGCUUAAUAGCUUCUCCUGAGUUCUAAUAAGUCUGUUUUGUAAUUGUAAUUCCCUAUGCAGAUUUUCAGUCUGCGCCAAAGAGCACUUGUGUGCUUUUGGCCUUUUGUUCUUUUUGUUUUACUAGGAUUUUGUUAUGGAGAACAACAAAGUACAAUUGAGGUAGUUGGGCUUGGUGAAUGUGCAGAUUGCAUACAGAACAAUAUUAAGACUAGCCAGGCUUUCUCAGGUACUUUGUCUCCUCUUAUCUAGUACAUGCACAUAGUAUAAAAUUUUAUUUUAUCUGAUAACUGUUAUAAAAAAAAAGUCUCUAAAAUAUUAGACACAUUUUUAACAUAUUACAAUUCUUUACAAUGUAAACACCAUCUAAGCCUCUAAAGGGACUUUGAAUCCAAAAAUAAAAAAUGUUUGUUUUAGUAUAUGACUAAUAUGUCUAACUAACAUUCUUGUGCAGGGUUACGUGUAACAAUAGACUGCAAGGCCUCAAAUGGACAUAUCCAAACAAGAGGGGCCGGUGAGCUUGAUAAAAAUGGAAAUUUCAAAGUAUCACUUCCUAAAGACAUAGUAAAAGAAGGUGAAUUGAAAGAAGAAUGUUAUGCUCAGUUACAUAGUGCAUCAGCUGCACCAUGUCCUACUCAUGAUGGCAUUCAAAACACCAAAAUUGUCAUCAAGUCAAAAUUUGAUGACAAACAUACCCUCAGUACUGCUAAUGCUGGCAAACUCAAAUUCUCAUCAGCUACAUGUACCUCAGCAUUUUUUUGGAAACACCCUCUUUUUCCUAAGCUUCCUCAUCCUCAAUUACCUGACUUCCCACCAUUUCCACCAAAAGUUUUCCACAAACAUCCUCUUUUCCCUCAUAUUCCUAUCUACAAGAAACCUCUCCCUCCUCCUGUGCCUGUCUAUGUAAAACCUCUUCCCCCUCCUGUGCCUAUCUAUAAGCCUCCUGUAUAUGUAAAACCUCUCCCUCCUCCAGUGCCUAUCUAUAAGCCACCUGUUUACGUGAAACCUCACCCUCCUCUUGUGCCUGUUUAUAAACCACCUGUAUACGUGAAACCUCACCCUCCUCCUGUGCCUGUCUAUAAACCACCUGUAUAUGUGAAACCUCACCCUCCUCCUGUGCCUGUCUAUAAGCCUCCUAUUAUUCCAGUUACUAAACCGCUUCCACCACCGGUUCCGUUCAAGAAACCAUGUCCACCAAAGAUUGAGCAUCCAAUUCUACCACCUGUUCCAAUAUAUAAACCUCCAAUAGUUCCAAAGCCACCGGUGGUUCCGAUCGUCAAGCCACUUCCUCCUCCAGUUCCAAUUUACAAACCACCAGUUGUCACUAAACCUUUUCCUCCAUUCAAGAAACCACCAUGUCCACCAAAGAUUGAGCAUCCAAUUCUACCACCUGUUCCAAUAUAUAAACCUCCAGUAGUUCCAAAACCACCGGUGGUUCCGAUCGUCAAGCCACUUCCUCCUCCAGUUCCAAUUUACAAACCACCAGUUGUCACUAAACCCUUUCCUCCAUUCAAGAAACCACCAUGUCCACCUCUUCCCAAGCUCCCUCCAAAGCCAUUUUUCCAUCACCCCAAGUUUGGAAAAUGGC